GAUAACAAUAAGUAGAAAAGGAAUCGAUGGAUAAAUAUUACGAAGGAAAAACCUCAAAAACUUCAAAGUCUUUUAGGCAGUACCCAUUAAAACUCUAAUAGACAUCCACCCAAUUCAAGUGGCAUGAGACAUUUGUGAGACUUGCGCAUAACAAGAAAGGUCUUUUUUUUCAUUUGAAUGAUCUAUAUAAACCAACAAGGAUCAGCACAACUUGAUCGACCCCACACUAGAGUCAGAGUUGUUGGCGAGUUGAAGUAGCAUGAUAGAUCAAAGUUCAACUACUUAACAAUAGUGGUGGAGUGUAGUUGGGAGCCAAGAGGCACAUUGCAAUUAUAGUAUAAGAUUAAAAAUUCAAUAAAGAUGAGGAAUACAAUGCCUGUAAAGGCUUUGAUAAGAGUGUUGAAAGAAUAAGUAAGAGAGAAUAUCAUAGACAAAACUAUAAACAUUGUGUUUAAUUUAAUACUCUCAAUAUCUUUCGAUUUUGUUUAUGUUUUACACAAUAUGUAGAGAGCUUGUAAUAGGUUUAGCAGUCCCAUUUUGGUUUGCUUUUAUAAUCGUUUCAAGCUUAUAAACACAAGUUGUAUGCAGUCAUCGUGUAAAGGCAAAACUGUCUAGAAAUAGGCCAUCUAAGCAACCAUUUUUAGUGUUUUCUAGUUUCAAAAAGUAGUGUAGAGUGUCAGCCAGUAUAGCAAUCAGGAGUUAUUUAGGUGAUACAUGACUGGAUUAGCUUUUAGAGUAGUGUCUAGCGCUAAUUCGCUACUUUGUUAUAUAAUAGUGUUAUUUGGGCACUUGUAGGAACUAUUGGCCACAAUGGACAACCUUGGAUCCUUUAUCGUAUGAUCAUUCAGAACUUGCAAAGUCUAUAUUUGUAAUUUGCAUUGUCUAUCAAAUGUUUUUUGAAAUGAUUGCUUAUGGAUCCUAAGUUAAAUAUUUUUUCUAACCAUCUUGUCUUGUGUAGGUCCUUAAGCGACUAUAAGAGGUUUUUGGGAGGCUGACCCUAUAGGAAAAUCUAGGGGCGACAUCACAUGCGCAGCGAAAAAACAAAAAACAAAAAUCUCUAAAUUUCUUAAUAAUGUGUUUGUCGUCGUGCGAAAGUUGAUGCAUAAAAUUCAUAAAAUCGAAAACUACGUAUAUGAAAGAUUGUGUUUUAUCUAAGAAGAUCGUAAAUCCCUGAAUCUCUACAGAUCUGUAGGAGUGGAUGAAGAAGGUCAAGCGCCCUCCUCUCUAGCGGUGAUCCACACAACAGGAUUGCAAUGACGCUCCUAAAAUCUCCAAGUUUACUAUUUGAAGAGGAGAAGGUGAGAGGAGAAUAGGAGGUGAUAACUAAAAGAAGUUCUAACCUAUAGACCUUUGGUUCCCUCCUAUUUAUAGAGGUCUCUUAUCAACCUUAAUGGAUCCUGCCCAAUUGGAUAAUAGAUCUUCAUCCAAUUACUAAAGUUCUUAGAUUAGUAGGUCUCUACCCAAUAAUCUCUUAUUAGCUUUUAUUGAAUCUCAACCAUGCGAUCUAAUAAUUCAAGGCUUAUUGAAUAUAAAAUAAGAUAGGGACUUCGACGGAUAUCUCAUAUCUAAAUAUCUGCUAGUUGCAACACCCACCAUAUGAGUGUGAUCCUUUAAGCCCAAUAUCGAGCUGGUCAUGAGUCAUACUUGUUAGAACUCCUUUUGGCUCAGUGAAUUAUUAUCUUCAUAAUAAUUCACUCGACUCAUCGACUACGGAUGUAGUAUGCCACUACGUCGUAGUCCCUAGACGAUACAAGGAAAUCCAAUCUAUUAGACUUGACUAUCCUUAGUCAUCGUGUACCUAUAGUCCAUCAUCCAUCUAAUACCCUAGAGACCGUAUACCGGGUAUGGUACUAUCAGGCCCAUAUAAUUUCUACUCGAGUCUCGCUUUAAUCGAAUUCUCUCAAAGAACCAUUUCUCUCUCAAUCCGAAUGACCCUAACCAGGAAUUUAUCUGAACAAGAACACAUAAGAUAUUCUCAUGACACCGAGAGUGAAUGAUCCUCUAUUGACACUUAAUAGCCCUUGUAAGGUUGGCUACCACUCCCGAUGAUCGGCUGUGCUAGAUCUGGAACUUCCAGACUUAUAAAUCUAGUAUCAAAGAGUGAAGUACUCAUAUAGGACAUCCUUAUGUCUCAAGUCUAUGGACCAGAUACAUCACUGGGAUAACAUAAUCGUUGUUUGAUAACAAAGUAUUAUUAACCAUUCAGCAUUUCGUGUGCGGAUCAAUCAGUGAACUCAUUCUUCAAUGAGCACUUGCACUUGAUCCCUAGUGUCCCCACAUAAGCAGCUAUGAGACCAAUCGCCUCCAUCAUAUGUACGAGUAUAUAAUACAGUAGUCUAUCUUGUUAUCUCGAUGUCUCUCUCGAGUAACUUAUGACUAGGAUUAUUUAGGGUUUAUGUUUAAAGACAAAUCAAUCUCAUUAUCGUGAUCUUAUCACGAUCCGAUUCCCAUUGCACAGAUCCAUAUAUAUAUAUAUAUAUAUAUAUAUAUAUAUAUAUAUAUAUAUAUAUAUAUAUAUAUAUAUAUAAUAUAAUAUAAUAUAAAGUGAUAAAAUAUCAAAUAAUAUAAUAAAAAAAAUUAAAAUACGUAUCAUAUCACAUGUGCCAUCACUCACGUGAUUGGCUUAUAGGGCACCUAUGACUAGAAAACCCUUUGCGGAUAGACACGCAAGGGUAUUGUAUAACUUAAGCAAAACCAAUUAAGUAUGUAACAAUUCGUUAAGAGGGUUGGUUGACGAAUGUUCCUACGAAAUCAGGCCCUCCUUUUAGCACCAAAAUAUUAGAGAAAAAUAUCGUUGACGUCUUGAUUAGCCUAACAUGGUCUGAACUCAUAUGCGUAAGGUUAUUCGAGUACUUUCAAGAUGGAAACGUCAGGCUCCUUAGGUGCUAUAUGCAUGAAAAUUGAGGUCGGAAGAAGUUUCUAGACCCGGACACUAUGACGCUCAAGUUAAUAACUCGAAGUGUACAAAUGUAGAUGCAAAUACUUCAUAAAAGUCUCUCUUUUCUUUAUAUUAAAAAUGAGUUUUUAUAUUAAAGGGUGAGGAAGAAGAUAGGAAGGGGGCAUUCCUUCUUGGUGAUGCCUAAAAAGCUUUCGCCUAUAGCAAAUCUACCGUCUUUAAGUCAAGUUUCGAUUGACUACAUGACUCAACUUUCUAAAGUCAAUGUCUCCAGGGACUUGGAUUGACUAUUACUAUCAAACCAACUACGGUCAUUUGUAUUGGUAAGUGAGAGGAUAAAAAAAUCUAUGAAAGAUUAGUAAUCAAAAGCGUAUCAAAAAGUUGACAUAAUAUUAAAUAUGAUUCGAUAAAUCUCAUUUAUAUUCAUAAAAAAAUUAAAUUCUUUAUGAGAUAAAUUACAAGAUUAUUGACAUUCACUUAUGUAAAUCUUUAAGAAUUUAACUUUUACACAUACACACACACACACACACAUAUAUAUAUAUAUAUAUAUAUAUAUAUAUAUAUAUAUAUAUAUAAUUUGUAGAUCCUUAAUACAACAGUAGCACGACGUAACGUUGGUACAUGUAACAUAAGACAGAAACCAAAUACUUAGGAAGCCAAAUGACUGCUUUAGGCCUGCAGGAAACGUUGUGAUUCAUGUACUGCUCGGCAUGAUCAUCCCUGCUACUCCUCCAGCUCGAAGGCUGACACCGGGAAGCUGUCGGAUAACCCAGUGCCGGUCUUGAAGGUGAUCUUCCCCGUCGAGGGAUCCUCGACGCGCAUCUCAACGACGGAGAGCCAGAGUAGCAGCUCCUUGGUCUUCACCCCCGUCAUCCUGUGCAUCUUGCGCUUCUCCACGAAGGCCGUCACCUCAGGGGCGUAUGACACCGCCCGCUUGAUCUUCUUGAAGGUGUGGUCAUUCUUCUUCUUCUGGAUCAGCCAUAUGAACCCAGCCGCGCGGUUGUACCCGAACUCUUGGAUGUCCUCGAGGGGGAAGAGCCCCCUCGGGAGCUCCAGUUCUUGAAGCAGUUGGAUGGAUUUCUUGCGGCAGAGGGCGUCACCGGUGAAGACCUCAGCACCGUGGCGAUGGCUUUCGAUGGUGUGGAGAGCCAUGUCGUCGAUAACUAAAGUGGUUUGGAAGCUAAGGAGCAGUGCGGAAGAGGAUGACGAAGAGAAGGCAAAAGGGCUGAUGAAACGAAGAUGGGAGGGAGAUGGUAUUUAUAGGUGAGAGAAGGAGGAGUCUCGUAAUGGGUAUACGACGCAAACAAGCCAUGAUAUGCGCAUGUCAUGUAAGACCCAUAUAGUAAUUGGGUCUUCUUUGUAGGGCAGUCAAGUCAGUCAAACGACCAAGUAGGGUUAUUACAACGGGCUCGAUCUCGAUGGAUUUGGUCUCAACGUCUAAACCACGCAUGCUUGAAGCUGUGACCAAAACUCUAAGAGUGGCCGUCCUUCAGGAGUCAAAUAAGACAAUAAUUUUAGUAGUACAACGGUCGUUAUGACCAAGUUAAAGAAUACGUAGGUAGGAUUUAAGUGCUUGGAUUGACUUAAUAUCGGAUCUAAGAUAUAUCUAAAAUUUUAAUAUAUUUUUAAAUAAUCAGUGUGACAUAAUUCUAUGAGCUUGGAACCUUUUCAAGUCGUGGUGUCGAAAGUAGAUCUCCACUUGAAAAUUCUAUUUAUGUUGGAGGUAUUUUUUAUAAAGUCUAAUAUUUUCGAUAUUAAAGCAUGAUCGAGCAUUUGAUCUUCUCAAAUGUAGAUGAUGUUAUUUGAAUCAGAUGUGCCCUGCUUGGAUUGUUAUCAUUUCAUAUAAUAUUUACAAAUGCAAGUAAGAAGGCUUUGACGUGUCUUCGUAUGAUUAUGUUUGACUACUUAAAGCAUGCGUGGUUUAGACGUUGAGACCAAAUCCAUCGAGAUGGAGCCCGUUGCAAUAACCCGACUUGGUCGUUUCACUGACUUGGCUGCCGUCGCUCGUCUCGCUCACACAUCCCAAGUGCUCAUCUCCCGGCAAUUAUUGACUGCGCUCCAAAGAAGACCUACUCUAUGGAACCUAUUCGUACUUCUCACCUAUAAAUACCAUCUCCCUCCCAUCUUCGUUUCAUCAGCCCUUUUGCCUUCUCUUCCUCAUCCUCUUCUGCACUGCUCUUUAGCUUCCAAACCACUUUACUUAUCGACGACAUGGCUCUCCACACCAUCGAAAUCCAUCGCCACGGUGCUGAGGUCUUCACCGGUGACGCCCUCUGCCGCAAGAAAUCCAUCCAACUGCUUCAAGAACUGGAGCUCCCGAGGGGGCUCUUCCCCCUCGAGGACAUCCAAGAGUUCGGGUACAACCGCGCGGCUGGGUUCAUAUGGCUGAUCCAGAAGAAGAAGAAUGACCACACCUUCAAGAAGAUCAAGCGGGCGGUGUCGUACGCCCCUGAGGUGACGGCAUUCGUGGAGAAGCGCAAGAUGCACAAGAUGACGGGGGUGAAGACCAAGGAGCUACUACUGUGGCUCUCCGUCGUUGAGAUGCGCGUCGAGGAUCCCUCGACGGGGAAGAUCACCUUCAAGACCGGCACUGGGUUAUCCGACAGCUUCCCGGUGUCAGCCUUCGAGCUGGAGGAGUAGCAGGGAUGAUCAUGCCGAGCAGUACAUGAAUCACAACUUUUCCUGCAGGCCUAAAGUAGUUAUUUGGCUUCCUAAGUAUUUGGUUUCUGUCUUGUUAAGUCGUGCUUCUGUAUUAAGGACCUACAAAUUAUAUAUAUAUAUAUAUAUAUAUAUAUAUAUAUAUAUAUAUAUAUAUAUAUAUAUAUAUAUAUAACAUAAAUUCUUUAAGAUUUAUGUGAGAUGAUGCAACUUAAUAAUUUUAUAAUUGAUCUGAAAAAUUUAGUUUUCACCAUGAAUAUAAAUGAGAUAAAUUUAUCGAAUCAUAUUAAAUAUUAUAUAUGUUGUGGGAAACAACUUUUUAAGUUGUGGCCUCGAGGCCGAUGCGGCUCGGUUCGAGGGUCCGGAUGUCCGGGAUCUCGGGCGGCGUCCCUCGGGGUCUCCCGGUGGCCGAGCACGGUGGUUCGGGUCGGGAGGAAGCUCCGCCGCAGCGCCGGGAAGAGGCGACAUCGUCUCGCACCUGCACACAGGUCGGGCCGGGAGCUCGGCCCGACCCCUCCGACGAUCAAGUUAGCGAUGUGGAGAGGGUUUUGGAGGAAAAGAUGCCUCCAUACAAGUGUUGUGUGUGAGUUCGUCCUCCUCCACGUUCGUUUAGAACUCUAAGGUAUUUAUAGAUGAGUUUGAUGUUACCUGAUGUGGCUGCCUACAGGAGGCAGGCUGAUAGCGUCUGACAUGGGGUUGGCGUGGCGUAAAGAACCAAGCCUGAGUUAGGUGUUAAUGCGCCUCGACCAGUGUUCCGGCUCGGUUAACCGAGUGCAGUUGCGUCGAUCGAGGCAUGAGGCGUCGACUGACAUCAUGGUGUGUCACAUCGUCAUUUUUACCCUUAUCAAUAUCUAUUUUUUGAUAUAUAUUUUUUUAUUAUUAAUCUUUGAUAAAUUUUUUUAUCCUCUCACUUUCCAGUUUGAUAGUAAUAAUCAAUUGAAGUCCCUCGAGAAAAUAACUUUGAAGCAUCAGCAAGAAGGAAGGCCCCUUGCCACUAUACCACACAUUCAAUUAUUUUAAUAUUAAUAUUGACAUAUAUAACAAGUGUUUUUUUGUUUUGUUGGACAUAAUUGUGGUAGCUAAAGCGUCUUCUCACAUUCAAUGCAUUCUCACGAAUAUAAUAUCUAAAGCACCCGAUUGCGACAAAACUAAUUGAAUAAAUAGCUAUCAUGACCAAAGCAUCUCUUCAUUGAAGCAAGCAUCCAAAGUGCCCAUCUCAUCGUCCCCGAUGCAUUAUAAACUCAUAAAGCAUCUAUAUUAUCCGACUCAAUCGUCAUAGUCAAAAUAUUAAUGCACUCUAAUUAAUUGGGCAAAAUAUUUUCCAGCUAUAAUAUAUCAUCCUAUGAUAUAAGCUAAAAAAAGCUUAGGUUAAGCAUUUUCUUGCACUCUAUUUGCCCAUGACAUAAGUAUCAAAAUGAUCGAUAUUUUGAUACUAUCGUAUCGUAUUUGAUGCAUCCAUUAAUGCUAAUAUAUUUUAAUUAAACAAAGUUUCUCCCCAAAUAUGAAUGUUAGUUCAGAAUAUAAGCAUCCAAAAUGUAUGAUGCAUAAUAAUAGGUCAAAACAUAUUCCAUGCAUUCAUUUAGGACAUAAUUAUCAAAAUAUCUAAUACAUCCUAAACAUCCAAAAUGUAUGAUGCAUCGUCAAAACAUCUUCCAAUACAUGAUGCAUUCAUAUAAGACAUAAUUAUCAAAACAUCUAAUACAUCCUAACAAUACAAGCCAUCCAAAAUUUAAGAUGCAUCUUAAUAGAUCAAAAUAUUUUCCAUGCAUUCAUAUAGGACAUAAUUAUCAAAACAUCUAAUACAUCUUAAUAAUACAAGGCAUCUCCUUAAGUGUAAUAAAUCCAACUAUGAGAUAUGCAUUAAAGCAUUCAAUGUGCAUAAUCGUAUCUUUUCGCAUGUAAUAUAUUCACAUAGGGAUACAAGCAUAAAAAAUUACAUGAUAUGUCUAACCAAGUUAAACAUCUCCGGGCGUAAUUGCUACUUGGAGAGCUCGAUCAACCUAACCUGCAAGAACGAGACUAGGGAGACAAUCCAUCGAGCAGUCAUUGGAAUCAAAGUAAGUCCGGGUUUGUGGUGGUUCCCAACUCAUGGCCGAGUGCUAUCGGCCUACUUAGUCAAUUCCAUAUAAUCUACUCGAUUUCUACUUGGCUUGACCUACCCAUCAUGGCUUCUCUCACCUCCAUCAUGACCUACCCCAAAACUCUUGUCCAUUCCGGUGUUCUCUCUACAAUCCUUUCGGCCUAUCAAUCAACAGAUCAGACGAACCAUAUUAAAGUUUACACUUACAAUAAUUGAUGCUCGAUUUCUCAAUCAUGAUACAUCCAAAUCUACACAUUUUCCCAAAAUGUGAAACGAGAUUAGACAAAACCCAAAACAAAAUAGAGAGAUUAGACAAUUGAUAGGCAGAACAUGACAAGCAAAAAAUUACUCACAUGUCAAUUCUACUUGUUCUUGCUAAUCUCUAAGCCGACACGUCGGCUUUACUUUACCGACACUCUAACUAUAGUUUUGGUCGAUACAAUUAUGAGAGGUUUAGAUUUAUGUGAUCGAUAACACGACAUGAUAAAAAAUCUAUUCAACUCCACGAGGUUAAUUAUGUUAUCUCUUAUUAUUUUAUUUCUCUCGAAUUCAGCACAUGAUUCCACUAUUAUAUUGAUGAUCGAAUGGUACGUAUAAUCAUUCUAAAUAUAAAUUAUAAUAUCAACUUAACGAUCACAUAACAUGCUAUCCAAUAUGUCUCAUGAUAAGACAUAUUUUAGAUUUCAACCACGUCACGACCCAUGUCACGUCACACCCCUGCCAAGUCAGCAUGAGGGUUGUCUUUCUCUCCAAACCAGAGUCCAUACAGGGAGAUGCCCCAUUGGCAAGUCUCAUCCUGAAAAGUUCGGGAUGAUGUCACAUGGCAUCGUUCCGUACAUACCGGGCGACGACCGCACGAAGGUAUGAUCUCGUCACUUGAGAGAUCGACCACCACGGCAAAUUCGCGUAUGAUCGAUCCUCGGGCAAUAGUAUAAAAUCUCAUGACCGGCACCUGGCUAGGGGACGAAAAAGAGAGAGAAGGAUAAAGACCACUGACUUAAUCUACGAGGGGCCCAAGUUGGGAAUCUCCCGACCAAGGCCUGUGUGCAGGAACGUGGCCACCUUCGGAGAUGCGGCCAUCCCGACCUUUGAUUCAACUCGAUCUCGGUACUUCCUCCGACCAAUCGAGAGACGCACCCUCGAGCACCGAGAACUCCAAACAUCAACCCGUAUUGACUCUUCGACCACGAUGUGUGAGUUCACCAAUAUCUCCUAUAUAAUUUUGUAGAGUCUAAAUUGUUGAUAUCUUAAGAUGAAAUAAAAAACGAACCUUGGUUGGUUCCAAAUUUACCAUCUUUUGUUUAACGACUAAGAUAUAUCACAACAACAAUCAAUAUCGAACUUAUGCUCAUUUGAUUUGAUCACCUCAUCUACCAAAUCUUUUGCAUCAGAUCUAGUUUUUGAACAUGUAGGUCGAGGAUCGCCACCCUGGUUGUAGCACUAGAUUUAACAGCAUGCAGCUUCUACUUAUUGUCGCAAUCCAACAAUGACAACAAGAAGCCGCCAAGUCCCAAUUAUUUCUGGACCUCCAGCAUGAUAUACACAUUUCUGAACCCAACCGCCACAAAAUCUAUAAGGUCCAAACUAUUCUGGGGACCUUAAUAAAUACAUUUAGGUCCCCCACCCCACUGCUUGGGGUCCAAACAACAGCAUCAACUCUCAAAUACAUACCUAUAUACUUGCAAUAUUUAUCUUUGCGAUGACCACAACAAAACCAUGUUAGCACCCGGAUGAAGUUUACGUGACAUUUAUAUAUACGAGCGAGCUCAUAGGGUGAUUGCUCAUACAAAGUACAAAGGAGGUUUACCGAUAACAUGCCAUCACGGCCUGCAACUAUGUGGGCCGAAAAAGAUAGCUUUGGUGUCGCCUUAACUCGCGACCGGGUGACAUGGCGCCCACUCAGCGUAAAGGCGGCUUGGGAUCGGGGGCCGGGGGCGGGCCCUUUCGGAUGUGCGUCACGUGCUUGGCUCGUGUCUAAAGUCGUGCAACGCAGCGGCUUUAUGUAAAAGCCGAUCCAGCAGUGCAUGCAUUGAGAGAAUAUAUAUAGAUGAUUAAUGCAUGCAUGUAAUUAUAGUGGUGGAUCCCAUACGGGGCCCAUCUUUUAUAACCUUUGGACGUGGACGUGGACAUGGAAUCGGAUCGCUGCUUUACGAGAAUGUGGAAGCCAAAGCUUCCUCACAUGCCUUGCAGUGGCAGACGAGGAAUCAUUCUCGAGGCCUGCGAUUACGUAGGUUUCCGCCGUGGAAAGCACCGGUGACGCCAGGAAACGGGGACGGCACGUCGAUCCGGUCCGGUUCACGCCCGUCGAGGCAUUUUGGUCCCGCGCGCACGAAUCUUAAGUCACGAUGAAGGGUUGCGGUGAGAUGUAAUAAAUACUAUAGCCGUAAGUGAAGUGGCCAUUUCCUUUCACGUCGUACAGCUGCUUUGGCAAAAGACGGGUUGAGACAGGCGCCAACCUCACCGACACCUUUGUUUUGCUGGCACUUUUCUUCCACAGCUUGCAUCCUUAAAUGCCCAAUUUGCAUUAUAUAUAUAUAUAUAUUUAUUUAUUUAUAUAAUAUACGUACCUUAACAUGCUUUAGAACGAAUGUUAUUGUUUCAACGUCUGAUGUAACGUGAAAGAGUGACCCAACUCUGAAGCAAUCUCCUUCAUCAGGACCGUCCGAUGAUGCAGCUCCACAGUGAGCGCUAGUGUUUGACUCCCUCUCCCGAUUUUAUGAAUCGGACGGUUGGUGAUGCGUGGGAAAGGAGAUGGGGACGGCGGCAGCCGUUAGAUUCCGUGGGUUGUGUGCUCCGCUUUCUCCUGUCCUGCACGUGAUGCAGCGAAAGCAGAUGCUUGGCGUGCGAAGCUUGGUGAUGCGGCCGACGGAGCACCCGCCGCGUGUGUCGGUGGGGCCUCCUGUUUCGUGUUCGUGGCGGUGCAGCGGAUCGGUGUGUGGUGGAAAAAGGCGAAUGCUCGCGAGGUGGAAGUGGGAAGAUGGACAUCAUUAAAGCGUAAAUGAUGUCUUCUCCAUGUAUUAUUAUCAUCGAUUGAUUUAAUCAUAUUCGAAUUUUUUAAAACAAAUCAAUUGAGAAAAAGAAUUAAAAGUCGAUUUUUUUAUUAGUUUAUUGUUUAUCAAUAUGAGUAUAAUAAAGAGGAAUACGGGUUGUGAUGACGUCACCCGCUCCCUUCUCCGACAGCGUCAAGAAAACAAAAGAAAAUGAGAGAAAUACACGGAUCUAAACUCCUCUCUCACUGCCAUUUCGAAGCUUCGGCUAUCCUUCUCUCGUGCCGACCGGAACGAAACGAAACGAAACGAAACGGAGGUCGUUCGAGAACCGUAGCGCGAUGAUGCUCCUGGUGGUGAUCUCCCUCCUCUGUGCCGCCGUCGCCUCCGGUUCAGACGUUGGAGGCGGCAGCCGGAGGGUGCUCCACCAGCCGCUGUACCCCAUCCAGUGGACCCCCCCGCCGCCCCCUCAGGAAUUCUUGGACCCGCCGCCGGACGACUCGAGCCCCUUCUUCCCUGGCGUCCCCUCCCCGCCGGCUGCCUCCACCCAGACCCCCGCCGCCGCGACCGCCACUUCCACCACUUCAUCUCCAUCUUCUGGGUCCAAGAAGGCCGCCGCAGUCGCGGCUUCUGUCUCGGUCGCCGUCCUCGCGGUCCUGUUUUUGUCGGGGUUCUUCUUGUAUCGGCGGCGGAGGGCUAGGAGAUCGCCGGACACUGGGAAGCUCAUGGGCCCCGACGAUAACGGCGGUCGGCAGGAGGGCCGCCCAGCCUCUGCUGCCGCGCCGGAUUUCCUCUAUUUUGGCACCAUGGGCACGCGGUCGGCGGCGGCGUCGGGCCGCACGAGGAGCAGCGAAUUGAACGGAUCACCUUACCGGAAGCUCGGGACGGAGCGGGUGCUGGAAAUGCAUCACCCGAGCCCCGACCUUCAGCCUCUGCCGCCGCUGAACGCGACAGUUUCGCGGAAGGGGAUGGUCCCUCCGCCGAUGGCGUCCUCCGAUGACGAUACCUUCUAUACUCCGCAGCGGUCGGUGGCGUCCGCCACCACCGAGAGCCCAAGUAGUCCGGUCUCGCGGCUGAGCCUCCCUAGUAUGAGCAGCGGCAGGAAGGAACACUUGGUUCCGGCGGUGGGGGACUCCGCUCCUCGCUCCCGGAGGUCUUCCCCUCUAAUGCAGCUCGCUAAUUACCCGAGUUCUGAAGUCAAACAGAUGAUCCCACCAACCAACCAACAACCUCCGCCACCGCCACCGCCGCCGCCCCCUCCCCCACCACCACCACCGCCGCCCCCACCUCCGCCAACAUCCACAAUAGAUAAUAUCACCAGGAAUCCACCAACCCCUCCGCCACCGCCGCCUCCACCACCGGCUACUGAAGCCGUGAGAAAAAUUGAACAGCCAAUUAAAGCCCCGGUAGCACCAAUUGCUCCAUCUUCAAGGCGUCGACUGCUGAAUCCCCUGCCUCCUGAAGCUAUGCGGAUCAACAUACCGCUUCCUCCCUCGAAGCUGGGCAACGGAGUCUCUGCCAGUUCUUCAAGGCGAAAUGACGAGGCGGGGGAGGAUUUGGAGGGUGAUGCGAAGCCCAAGUUGAAGCCCCUUCACUGGGACAAAGUUAGAGCGAGUUCCGAUCGGGCAAUGGUCUGGGACCAAUUGAAGUCAAGCUCAUUUCAGUAAGAUCUUCCCUGAGGUUUUCUAUCCCACUUGCUUUAUUUUCCAUAGCUUUCAAGACAGAAAUUAGCAUUAUGUUCUUCUCUUCAUUUUGGCAGAUUGAAUGAGGAUGUAAUUGAGACUCUAUUUGUCAACAAUGCCACAACUUCUAUUCCUAAUGAUGCAAACAGAAGACGGGGUGUGCUGCCAUUCAAGCAGGAGAACAGAGUGUUAGAUCCAAAGAAGUCACAGAACAUUGCAAUACUUUUGAGGGCAUUGAAUGUUACAAGAGAGGAGGUCUCUGAAGCACUUUUAGAUGGUAAUCAUCCACAAUUUGCAAACUUUUGUUUAAGCUCUAAUAUGUUCCUUAUCAUAUUUAUGUAAACUGUUCAUGUGGCACAAUAAUUCGAUAGAUUUCCACCCUAAUCUUCUGAAGUCAGGUUGGCAAUCAUCAUUGUCUUUUCCAAUAGGAUGUCAGAUGAUAAAUUUUUUGUGGCAGGCUACUCCCCAAAUCUAACUUUAAAAUCUUAUCUCAUGUUCCACCGUGGUCAUUAGGUACCUAUUUUCACGAGUGACAACAAAUUAGUGAUAAGAGUUGGACUGUCUUAAGCAUGACCUUUUUUUCUGGCAUAUGGAAUCUGAGCUAUUGUCGUGUAAUCAAAAUCAACUUGUUCCUCAUGAAGCUCUUUAGAAACAUAGAUAGGUGGCUUGUUUAGAUGCCUAGAGUUCUGGAAUCAAACAUUCAGAUCUUUUUUCCUCCCUAUUAGCUAAGUUCAAGCUCAACUGUUGUCCAUCUAGCUGACUACCAUUACAAACAUCUGGCUGCAGGAAAUUUUUCUUUGUGCUCUAAGGUUAUUGAAUAGGGAGGCAUGCUCACCUUUUUACCUUCACCCUAUCUACAACUAAUUGUAGCUACAAUUGCUAGACAUUCUUAGGAGUUGUAUGGAUUUGUUUAAAUUCUAUCUCUUGAACUUUACUUUUUUUUCCUGUGGACACAGAACCAACUCAUGUACAAUAGUAUCCACACUAACUCAUGUCAGUGCUGUGUUCUGAAGGGGCCUAUAUAACCACACUUAGCUGGAAGUUUCUAAGAUAGGUCUUGGAUUGACUAAUUGUAAUCAACAAAGAUAAGGAAAUUAGAAGAUUGAAGGAGAGGGCAGAACUUAAGAGAGAGAAAAAUGUCUAGUUGCCAAAAGCGAGAACAGCUAGGAUGGGGAUUGCCCAAAUAGUUUUCAUUCGUUUGUAAAAGAAAUACAACAUAGUUCCAAUUCCAGCUGCAAUGGUUAAUCUAGGACUUCUACCAUUACAUGGUUUCCUUUUUGAUAACCUAAAAGGGCAGCUAACUAGUUUAUCAAUCACCUUUCCUGAUAUGCUCAUUAUUAUCCUAGACUUCUCCCAGUAACAUGGGGUCAAUAAUGAGUGUCUCAGAACCCUCAAAUUCUGUUUGGUAACUAGGUUUCAUAAAAAGUCUCAAGAAGAACCCAUCCAGUUUAUUAACUCAACAUGAACCCUCAAAUUCUGUUUAAAAUAUAGUCUAGAAGAGAACUGCCUACAUAAUUACCCAACUCAUCUUAGCUUUUUGUAACUAAAAGUUAAGCUUCCUUAAGUGCUCUAAACUUAGAUAGAGUUUUGGAGAAGAGGAAGGUGACAACCCUGAUAUCGCAAAUAAGCUAAAAAGCAGGUGAAAAACCAUCCCAUCCUGAUAAUUUUCAAAACACUGAUAAUUUUUAGCAUUUAUCUUUUUGUUUUUACUGUUAGUUUAAAGGGCAAAUAAACUAGCCAGCCAAAUCCAAUUAGAUUAUGGCCUGACUGAUCAAUAGUUCAUCCUAGUCAUAGUUCUUUAGGACUACUAUGGAAUCCAAGUGUAUGGCUUUAUCGGAUGGCCAAUGUGAAUCUAUUGAAUCUCCACUAGAUGAUCUGACUGACCUUCUACAAAAAUCUAAGUGAACCAUCAAAGGGACAGCCAAGUCCACAUCUUAAUCUGAAAUUGCUUAUUAAGUGUUUAAUCAAUGUUAUAUUGCAUCAGCUAGCUUGAAAUUCUUCUCCAGGUUCAAAAAAUCUUCUUUGAGUUUUCACAGUACAUGAACAGAUGUCUUAAGGCCUGGACCCUUUUAGCUAAUAACUGCUGCAGCUGAACUCAUUCUGUUGUUCAUUGUGAUAUAUCAUGCAUAUUAGUUUUUAAAUGAUAUUGAAUGAUAAAAUUGUCUGCAACAGGUAAUCCUGAAUGUUUAGGAGCCGAGCUUUUGGAAACUUUGGUCAAGAUGGCUCCCACAAAGGAGGAAGAACUAAGACUACGUGAUUACACAGGUGACAUAUCAAAGCUAGGUUCAGCUGAGCGCUUUCUAAAAGCAGUUCUGGAUAUACCAUUUGCCUUCAAAAGAGUGGACGCCAUGCUAUAUAGAGCUAAUUUUGAGACAGAAGUCAAUUACCUAGUGAAAUCUUUUGAGACCUUAGAGGUAAAAGUAUUACUUUGACGUUUCAUCAUUCUUUGGUAAAAAAAAAAAAGGGCAAACAUAUCCCUAAAUUAGUGCUCGCACAACCAUAUUCUCAAAAGUAUGAGUUGUGGAAUCUUAGGGUGAAGAUUUCUUAAUUCAUUGUAGUAGGAUUUCUUCGUUUUCUUAAUACACAUGCAUGCAUUUUUUAUUAAUUUAAGACCUGUUUUUUAACCUAUAAAAUUCUGAAGUUUAUUGUGCCAAUUGAAUAUUCAAUAUUCAUUUUAUGGGAUAUAUUAUGGUUAAUAGCUUUCCUCAUUCUUCCUAAAUUAUAUUUUCAGCAUUUCUGUGCUUUUGACCAACUGUGUUUGGCAUACCCUAAAAUAGUUUUCACUUAAAUUUCUCACGUAAGGAACCUUCAGAAAAAAAAAAAAUGCAAGUUUGUAGAUUAAGAAUAAACUUUAUAGUGCUUUCAUAAGCAAUAAAUAAUACUUGUUAGAAUCAUUGUCCAUAUAUUUCACAGCUCAUAGUCCCUCGUAUAUUCUGCAGGCAGCAUGUGGAGAUCUAAGAAAUAGUAGACUAUUCCUUAAACUCCUGGAAGCUGUAUUGAGGACUGGAAACAGGAUGAAUGUGGGGACCAACCGAGGUCAAGCGCAAGCCUUCAAGCUAGAUACUCUUCUAAAACUCGCAGAUGUAAAAGGGACUGAUGGGAAAACCACACUUCUGCAUUUUGUUGUUCAAGAGAUCAUUCGGUCGGAAGGAUCAGUUAAUAAAUCAACAUCGGAGAAUCCUUCUAGCAAUGCCAGAGAAGAACCAUUUAAGAAACAAGGGUUGAUAGUGGUGGCUGGGUUGAGCAGUGAGCUUGGUAACGUCAGAAAGGCAGCUGGAAUGGACUCAGAUGUUCUCAGCGGUUACGUCUCAAAGCUAGAAACGGGGCUUGAGAAGAUGAAGUCAGUAUUACAACUUGAGAAGUCAUGCACACAAGGUAUGAAAUUUUUUGAGAUGAUGAAGAUAUUUCUUAAUGAGGCCGAAAGGGAGAUCAAUCGUGUUAAGGCUGAGGAGAAGAGGGUGAUGAACCUGGUAAAGGAAACUACAGAGUACUUCCACGGGGGUGCUGCAAAGGAGGAAGCUCACCCUCUUAGGAUCUUCAUGGUGGUGCGAGACUUCCUCUCAGUGCUAGAUAAUGUUUGCAGGGAAGUUGGCAGAUUGCAUGAGAGGACAAUAAUGGGAUCAACUAGAUCCUUUCGUAUAUCUGCGAGUGCUUCCCUUCCGGUCCUCCGAAGGUAUGAACAGCGACGAGAUGCCAUUUCAGAUGAUGACAGUUCGUCAUCAUGAAACCAUCGAGAGAUUGGCAACUUGUGUUUCUCAAUGUUUCUCAAUCAUACCAAUCCGGUGAUCGAGGAAUGCAGUGAUUUGGCAAUUCAGAAGAUGACCAAGGAAGGUGAAAAGAAGGAAAUUUCCAGGUGUUAAAAGUCGGCAGGCUCACUUCUGUACAGAAAAAAAUAAGCAAUGCCUUGUAGGAAGGCAUCAUCAUACAGUAUUUCACACAGAUUGAAGUUAGUGAAAGCAGAGACUAUCAUCAGAGUACAAAUUAGUGUCUGAUCUACUUGUCGUCAUGUGAUAAUAUUAUUCAAGUAGUUGUAGAAAUUUGUAUUUUCUUUCCUGUUACAUGUAUCAUUUUCUCUUGGAUAGUGAGUGUUCAAAUUUUCAUCCCAAUCAUUCCUACUGAAAGGCAUAAUAGCCUUGUGCAUUCGUAACUGUGACAUCUCAGUUUUGUUCAACAUUGGCUGUGGGAGGAUUCAUUUGUUUUAUAUUGUUAGAUGAGUCUACAUUUAUUAAUUUUGGCUUUAGGAUUUUAGGUUAGGUGAUGGUUUAGAGACUACUUAUCAUGUUAAUUAGGUACUUAUUUCACCAUAUCUACUCGUUGAUAUCAUAUGAUAUCGAAGUGGAAUUAUUAUUAGUUGGUGAGAAGGAAAUGAAUAUUCAUAAAUGUUAUAGUUAUUGUUAAUGUAUGCCUCCCUCUUUCUGGAAGAGUUUUGGGUAACCUUCUGACACUCCUUCUGAUAUGAUUUACAAUUUUACAAUGGAAUAAAAAGUCAUUUUUCUUUGAAGACGAAGAAUUCUUAUCAUUCCUCGAGUUUUUCUUGACAUUUGAGUAGCUCUCUUUGGCUUUCUCGGUAGUCCUUUCGUUUUGAGUUGUAUUAUUUCUUUCGAUCAUCAUAUUGUCCCACUAGCACUUGAGAUGUCAUACACAUCAUGCAAAUCAAUAUAUUAUAGUCGAAACUCAGUAGUGUAGUCUUGCAGCGAUUGAUUUUGUCUUUGGCUCAAGCUAUGUCAUCAUUUCCAUCAAUAAAGUCUUGUAGGAUGAGCUUUUUAAAGUGCCCGUAUGUCACCUCUUCAUGGCCAAAAGAUCAGUGAUUAGUCAACUUGAGUUGUGUGAUCGCAACUCGGUAUUGACAAGACCAUUAUAGGAGGAUAUGUCAAUUUGAGUUUCGGUUGAAACCUUAUUGUCAUCACAUUGUCACUCCGACUAUUGUGGUUUCUCAAUUAUAUAAGGAAAUCUCUCUAUUCUGUUGAAAAAAUCCUCUAUUUUGUUAAAAAAAAUCUUUCGGUAUCAGAGCAAAGAAAAGCGAAACUUCGCUCUUGCCUUCGGCCAGCGAUCAACGUCACAUCUCUCGCUCGCGAUCCAUGAUUGGUAUCCAUCUUGAUCUUGCGGGAAUAUGAUAGAAGAUAAAAUUUUUCCAACUAUACGAGAAAAUGAGAAGGUCCCUUGAUGCUAAAUAUGGUUAAGUGCUUAUGAUCAACAACUUGGUGAUAAGACUAAAAGAAUUAGGAUAAACAAAUAUGAGAAAAGAGGUCUCCUUGUCUAAUACCCACCAUUUUUGCUUUUAAACCAACUAGAUUGGUCAUUAUUGACCAAAUAAGAAUACACAAGACAUGAUCCAAUAAAUGAAUUAGAUUUGAUGUUAGAUCGAAUCAUCCAAGUCCAUUUGCUGAAGUAUACAAAGAUCUUUGAUGUAGGUUCUCAAAGUCUUGGCUCCAUUGAUCAGUGUUUGAACUCAAUACCAGAUUCAUUUGUGGCAGACUAAAGAAGGAUGAUGAUUGGAUCCGAAUCAUCCUCCACAGUAAAGUCCGAAGCGUUUCGAUUGGAUGAGGAAGGAGGUCGUCGACCGGUGCUUGUGGCGAGCCAUUCGCACCGAGUCACGGAAGGCGCAGCUCCGCACUCCGAGUCGAGCAACUCAGCAGGAGAUGCACUCAUGACGAUGCACGCAGCGUGUGGUUCUGCGGAGAGGCGGCACGUCCAAUACCUCUUAUGAUGCCCAUUGUGGUCUCCCAGUCUUGGAAUGCAAUGACAGCGGCCAUGGCGCAGCACGGGCACACUGCCAUAGAAACAACGGAUCGCUUUGACCAGAUGACAAGGCAUCAUGGCAUUGCUGCAGACAGGUUCUCUUUUCUUACAGCCCUGUCAGCCUGCACUCAUGUAGUUUCGGCAACGAAGCUUUCCAAAACCUGAAUCUGCAAUCUCUUGGAAUUGUUCAGCCGCAGAGAGACUCAAGACUGGAAUUCCAUCGAUUUGGAUUUUGAGCUUGUUCAUGAGGAAAGAACAGUUUCAUUGGACAGUAGCUUCGCUCGACUAAUUUCAAGCAUCGAGAGUCAAUCACAUCUCUUUAUCUAAAGGCUUCGACUUUCUUGUGAUCGUAAUCCCCCAUUGUCACUCAAUCUUCCUCCUGUGGUCGUCUUAAAGAUCUCAGAGCUUGCUUGAGUGCGUAUACUACCGUAAGAAGCAUACAUUUGCAGCCAUUUCCAUGGCUUUUUCUCCUCUUUGAUCAAACUCACCUCGGAAGUAGCCAUCUCUGCACAGGGUAUAUAGACGACUGUUCUUCUUCUUCGCGAGAUAAAAGAACCAAUUCCUCUCUCUCCCAUAAGUGCACUGCUCUUUUCUUUGGUUUAUAGGACACCCAAGCUUAGCAAGCAUCUAGAUUUGUGGGCAUCAGGCAUCCACUUUGCCUCUUCUCCGGCACCUAAAGUCAGCAGCUGUAGAUCGGCCAAACCAAUACAUUAGACGGCACAAAACACUAAAUCUAGUGCUCUGAAAAAAGAGAAAGGAGGACAAAAAAAGUUGUCCCCCCCUCUUAGUUUAUUUAAGAUAGUGGAGUUUCAUAGGACCAAAAUCUUUUCUUUUCUUCACAGACCAACAGAUUUUAGAGGGCCUCAAAGACACAUCUUAUAAGGCUGGUCUAUCGGCAUGGCGUCCACAAAAACCAUGUGCAGUAUCUUGGACUUUUGGAGAGACCUUUUGAUGUCUGUUUCUGAUUGGAUAAUAUUCCAUUGUUCCUGCUAAAGAUUAAUCCCACUUGAGAAGAUGGGCAAGUAAGUAAUAGAUGCCAAGCAACACAAGAGGUAGGAUUAAACUAGAUUUAAGGCACAUAUAUUGGGAAGAAGUUGUGAUUCACAUUACGAGGACAUCAGAUCUACAAGUCCUUUCUGUGCCCAAUCCAUGAGAUGAUGGAAAGAUGGACAUGGCUAACGAUAGAUGACCUCAGUACUGUCUUCUAAGUAAAAAAGCUUCAGCAUCGCCACUCUGCCCAAGAUUUACUCAUGCACAUCUAUAGAUACUAUCAGUGUUCGAGGAUAUGGUAAGCACUUCGAUAUUAUCAGUCUAGGCGAUUAGCCAAAGAGUAGAGAGCUUUCCUAGACGCUCUUUCACAUAUUUCUCAACCAGGGAAAGGUUGUCAGCGAAGAAGCACGCAUGCAUGGCACCGACUGCGCUUCUGGACAUGGAACAGAUGCCUUGUCGUCCUUGACGCAUCAUCUUUAACAAAGGUUAGGUAUAAGAUUUACCAUGUUUUGGGUUGAGAGAAGCGGAAAGCGUGACAACACCUAUGUUAGGUGCUAAUAGAAUACAUGCCAUUAAUUGUUCAUGCAUGAUCGUAGGCUUUGGGAACCAUGGCACGCCAAAUAAGGUCUUGGAACUGCAGCAAGAAUACCUGGUGUGUGGAUCAGGGAGAUGACCGAUGAGAUGUGACGCACCUAAGAGUAGUGUUAAUUGGCAGAGCAAGAAGAAGAAGAGGUGGUCCGAGCUCAGCGCACAACGGCUUUUGAGGAAAUAUUUACAUGCACAAAGGGUAGGAACGUCAGAUGAGUAUAGCUUUUACGAGGCAUGCAGAGAAGGGAGCGGAGAGAGAGAGAGGGAGGUGGGAAGCUGAAGCUUUAAAGAUGCAGUCAAUGCGCAAUAAAAAGCAGCGAAGAAAGAGACAAGUAGUGCUUUUGAUGAUGAACUCGCCUCGGUUCUGAUGAUAUAGCCGGUGAAAGGUGGGGGAGGGGAGGACUCGGGGCCAUUUGUUUGGGCUGUCCUGUUCAUUGAUAUCUUCUUCCCCUGUUGCCGUGUCUCUGUGUUCUCUAGAGGGUGGUGUGUGGCUGACGGAAAAGACUGACAGGGGAGCAGAAGGUGUGGGCAUGGGAGGGAGCAUGGUGGGCCUCCUCCUGCCGCUGUGUUAGAGCCAUCCAUCAAUCAGGUAGAUUCCUCCUCUGCACCACUCACCUUCCUCCCACACCGCUCACAGUCUCUAAAUGUUGCUGCUACUUGUGUUCUUGGGUUUAAUCCCUGGUAUGGUUGGCUCAGUUUUCUGCACUUUGUGGUGGGUUUUUGUUAGUUCUUCUACUUGUUCUCUUUUCUACUCUGUCUACUUUACUUUCUCUGUAUUUUGAUCAAAGAUUUGUGCUUCUUUUGCAAGUUUUCCUCAACAGGCUUUCUCUUUCUUUUUGCUUUUGGCUUGUUUUAAGUGAUAACUCUCCAAGGACAUAAACUACAUCCUAUCUGUCUCUCUCUCUCUCUCCUCAGUCCAGCAUUGUCUUCUUCUUCAUCUUCUUCUCACUGCAACAGCUGGCUCUGCAUGGUAGUUCAAUUUCCUUUUAGCCUUCAGUAUCAAGCUCAAACUUUAAUACCUUCAAGUGCAUGCAACCUUGUCUCUCAUGUAAUCGAUUCAUAUGCUUCUUCGUGUGGUUUUUCGCCAACUUGAUAAGAUUCCUUUACCGGAGCAGUUGCUAUCUCUUCCGUAUUAUUAAACAAGGAAAAAGAUGCUUACUGUCUGUGGCAUCACUGCUUCACUUGCCCUCACAUAGAGGUGGUAUCUUUGGUUGUGGCAGGUGAUCUGAUCCUAAAGGCCAGUGGAGUUGGAUUCGAGGAAUGUGGUGGCGGUAGUCGCCGGAUCUUAACGACCCUGCAAGCAAAGCACAGGACAACCAGCAUUUGGCCAAAGAGGAGUAAGGGUGGUGGUGUCUCUCUCCUCCUUAAUUGUUUACUAGCCUACUGAGCUACUUGCUGUCUCCUCUGCCAUGGAGCUGGGAAACAGCAGAGCUUCUCCAUUAGACCGCAUCUUGUGGUGAGUUGCUCAUCCCAAGCGGGAGGGGAAGACAAAUAGCUGUAUAAAUUUGUUCUUCCUCUCGUCCUCUGUUCUGAAACACUCUAAAAUAAGUGUUGCUGUUUGCAGACUUGCAAAAGCUGGAGUAUUCUUCUGUCUUCUGCCUCCUACGGGAAGUCCAUGCUUUAUGUUCCAAGGUUGCCUUUAGUUUUUGAGAGGGUGGCAGAAUUGAUGUAACAUUCUCCGGUUAAGCAGAAGUGUGAAGAAGAGAAGGUGCAUCGAUUAGUUCCACGAUGAAGUUUAUGAAGCUUGGAUCCAAACCUGAUUCCUUUCAGAGUGAUGGGAAAGACAUCAGGUUCUUGGAAUUUCUUAUCAUUACUGCUGUUGUUAUAGAAUUUGAUGUGUCCUAUGCUCUGGUGUUGACAUUUGCUGCAUUAUGCUUGUUUUGACACAGUCUUUAUCCUGCUUUCUCCAUCCUUUCCCUUGAUCCAGUAGGAUUGUUCCUCCAUGAGCAUUUCUUGACCCAAAUCCAAAUCAUCCUUUGUUAUCCAAAAUAGGAUUAGAAUAUGUACUACCUAUUUGUGCUUUCCCCUAAUUGUGUGUUGUUUGAUUUGAAAUAGCUACCAGGGGUUCGAUAAAAUGCUUAUUGUGCCCUUUUCUCAUUGAGUACACAACAACAUGCACUAAGAAAUAUGAUUUCUGCACCAUUUUCUCUUGCGAUUGAUAUCAAACUAAGAGCAUAAUCAAUUAACAUCACUACUGUUAUAAGCACUAAAUAAAAAGAAUGCUUCAUAUACAGAAGUUGGGUCCGCCAGAUAUAAAUUUACAGACUACAUAUAUCUUUGCCGAUAAAUUUGGGUCUUAUUCAAGUGACCGUAGAUUGUUCAAUCCAUUGCUUAGACCCCUUUUCAUUUAUAUUUAGCAGCUAUAAUGAUACUUCCUAUCAAGGUAUACAAUUUCGAAUAAUACCGCAUGGUACGGAUGGUAUGUACCGGUACACGGAUCACCCGUUAUCGGACGGAACGAUAUAUAUAUGUAUAUAUAUAUGUACAUAUAUAUAUACAUAUAUAUAUACAUAUAUAUAUAUAUAUAUAUAUAUAUAUAUAUGAGGCGAUGUCGCCCUCGCGUGGGAGAAGGAAAAGGCGACGUCGCCGAAUUAUAUAUAUAUGUAUGUAUAUAUAUAUAUAUGUAUGUAUGUAUAUGUAUAUGUAUAUAACAAGCAGUAUAUCGAAUGGUAUACCGUUCGGUAUAUAGUAUCGUACCGUGUCGAGCGAACAUUGAAACUCCGGUACGGUACGAAAUUUGCGAACCUUGCUUCCUAUUGCACUAAGAAAAAUGUGAUUAUGCUUGUGCCUUUGAUUCUCUAAUUCAGAAUAUAUGUGCAGGUUCGUGGCCACUGACUUAGCAGCUGACAUCAUUAUUCGUGUAGGAAAUGUCAAAUUCCAUUUGCACAAGGUAAUAACUCUUUUCCAAAGUCAUAAUAGAUGCAGGACAUUAUCAUGUAUUUGGCACUUGAGAUUUUUACUCUUUAAUAUUUGCUCAACCAUGAUUAGACACUAAACCCUUCAUUGACCUUUUGGGUCCUCGAAGUGUGCAACUACCAGUAUUGUCAUGGACCAUAUGUAUUUCUAACUCAAGUGAUGCCUUAAUUUGAUGUUAAAGCUGUUAUUUGGUAUUAAUACUUGAGAAGUUUUUAAGUUUUCACAAUGUUUACUCAAUUCUUGGAUCGACAAUUUGGUUGUUACUGAUAAAUAUGGGUGCUAGGGAUUUAUUAAAGCUGAAUAGCCUAUCACUCACCUCAAUCAUCAGUUCAUGUAAAAGAACAAAUAAAGGCUCGUGUCCUUUGUAUCCUUACUGUAAUUUUGCUUCUCUAUCAGUGUGGGACGCCAUUGAUGUAAUUAGUUUUACAAUGCUGGAAGGACAAAACCAGAAUUUCACAUAGAAUAUAUAACCACUAAUUAUCCUUAAGCAACUUGCUCUUUCUCAUUAUUCUGCUAGUUUAGUUUCAUUUCUUUGCCUUUUCCAAAUUUUACUAACCUUUCCUUUGCCAAUUGAAAAUGCAGUUUCCCCUGCUGUCCAAGAGUUUUCGCUUGCAGAAGCUGAUAACAAUUACCAACAAUGAAAAGACUGAUGAAAUAUGCAUUUCGGAUAUCCCUGGCGGUGCAGCUGCUUUUGAAAUUUGUGCAAAAUUUUGUUACGGCAUGACUGUGACCCUCAAUGCUCACAAUGUGACUACCGCACGAUGUGCAGCUGAGUACCUACAAAUGCACGAAACAGUCGAAAAAGGGAACCUGAUCUAUAAAAUCGAAGUCUUCCUCAGAACUAGUAUAUUGCGUAGCUGGAAAGAUUCAAUCAUAGUUCUCCAGACUACAAGAUCUCUUUUACCAUGGUCUGAGGACCUGAAGUUGAUUGACCAUUGCAUAGAGUCUAUAGCUUCCAAGGCCUCAACCGAUUCUUCUAAAGUGGAAUGGUCAUACACGGACAACAGGAAGAAGCUUCCUUCUGAAAAUUGUUUGGAAACACAUUGGAAAGGCAUCAGGAAAGAGAAUUCAGUGCCGAAGGACUGGUGGGUCGAGGACUUAUGUGAACUUGAAAUUGGCUUUUUUAAGAAGAUCAUAAUGGCCAUCAAAGUCAAGGGGAGAGUCUCUUCUGAAGUGAUUGGGGAAGCACUGAAAGCCUAUACUUAUAGGAGGCUCUCAAGUUUGGGCAAAGAAAAGGGAGGUGAUCCCAAUAAAAACCGGUCAUUGCUGGAGACUAUCAUUUUGUUGUUGCCCUCAGAGAAAGGUUCUGUGUCCUGCUGUUUUCUUCUGAAGUUACUAAGAGCUGGUAGUUUACUGGAUUGUGGUGAAUGUAGCAAAAGGGAACUCGUGAAGCGAAUAGGCCGCCAGUUAGAAGAUGCAUCAGUGCCCGGUCUCUUGAUUCCUAGCACCUCAGGAGAAAACACGAUAUAUGAUGUCGACAUGGUUCUCAACAUAGUGGAAGAAUUCAUAAUGCAGGAUAAUAGUGAUGUUCAACUCAGCACAAAUGAGGAGCUUCAUGAGUUAAAUGCCCCAGCUUUGGCCUCAAGGAUUUCAAAGAUCACAGUAGCCAAGCUAGUCGACGAUUAUCUAAUUGAGAUUGCUAAAGACCCUAAUUUACCUCUUUCCAAAUUUAUCGAUCUUGCUGAGAUUCUACCAAGUGAUUCAAGACCUGUACAUGAUGGGCUUUAUCAUGCCAUUGACACUUAUCUCAAGGUACGAUGCAUGAUCCUUUCCUAUUUUGUUACUUUGACUCGAACACUGAUCUAGCUAGCAAAUUUGUCUGCUUGUUCGAUGCAUGACUUUGUUGUUCUCAUUUAUGUAAUGAGCAGGAACAUCCAGGCCUUGGCAAGAGUGAGAAGAAGAAGCUAUGUGGCCUGAUGAACUGCAAGAAGCUCUCAGGGGACGUUUGCGCACAUGCCAUGCAGAACGAGCGGCUCCCAUUGCGGUUGGUGGUGCAGAUCCUGUACUUUGAGCAGAUGAGGGCAUCUGCCGCUACCACCAGCCGAGCUGAGAGUGGCAACUCGUAUGGAAGCUCAAGGUCAGCCAUCACGACCAACACUGAAGACGAAUGUGAUGGCGUGCCGAAUGCAGAAGACGGUAAAGCUCGGAAAUUUACAAAGCUUAGUGAAGGAGGAAAGGGAUGCGAAUGGAGCAGCGGAGGCAACAAUGAAAACAGAAGCAAUGGUCAAGGGAAGAGUGGCAACAGUCAGGUGAAGGGCGUGGUGAUGCCAAAGAAGAUGCUUGGGAAGUUCUUAUUAUCAAGCAAAGGGCAGGCUGGGGGGAGCAGCAGCUCCUCAGACACUUCUGGAAGUCCAAACUCAGCCAAACAAGGGGAGCCUAAGUUGACUCCUUCCAGAAAUAUAAGGUACACAGUUUUAUAGAUGGGAUUCACUACUCGCAACAAGCAUGACUGUUAGCUUAAUGGUUUACUUAGUUCAAUCAACACCCAGUUUUGCAUCUACAAACAGUGUAGAAGCUGGUUUUGAUAAAGCCUGAUAUAAGAAAUAGAAGUCUGGGUCUUUAGCAGGCAAAAAACAAAACAUCAUAUAGGUGUUUGUGAGUUGAUCCCUAGUUUAGGCCCAAUCUUGAACCCAUUAAACCUAACAAAAUCCUUAAUCAUUUAUUUACCUCGAAACUUCUUUCCAAUUAUUCCUAAACUUAGGAAUAAUUUUCAUUUUAUGCAAAUAUAUUCAAUUUAUGGUUAUUAUCCUUAUAUUAGUAAAAACUGAUAGAUAGCUUUGGCUAUGGCCUCACCUAAAUCAUCCUCCAUCCAAACCCAUCUAUCUGAAUCGACUUCAAAUCAGAUUAAAAAUAUUAAAAUCCACCUUAGAUACAUUGGACGGAUCCAAAUAUCUAAAACCUAACCCGAUACCAUCCAUAAUUAAUAGCGCCUAUCCACAAAGCCGUGCUUCCAAAAUUAAGCUACCUUGGAGUAUAUAAUUGGUGCCACAACUAUUACUAAACGUCGAAAGAAACGUUCUUUGUGCAUACUGCUGUAGAAGCAUAUCCUUCCAUUUCAAAGAGAGUUCAUUCACGAAUGACAUGAUUGUACGAUUGGAGUGAGUAGGGAAUCUUAUACGAUUUUGACUACCAUCGUGGAUCUAUACUUGAUAGAAAUGCUCGUGUAUCUAAGUUUAUUGGGUUCGGAUCCUAAAUGGGUUCAAUCCGACGACAGUCCGACAUCCACACCCUAAGAAUCCGGGCAGAAUUGGUUGGUCUGACGGACAACCGCCUAUAAAGCUAUGUAGAGAACAAAAUAAUAAUAACAAAAGCCAACCCAGCGAAGCGAUGCGCAUCAGUAAAAGCGCCCCUCCGCAGGCGAAUCAGCCGCGGAAACACGGAGCCGCCCGCUCAACCCCAAGACUAUGGAGCACCUUCCUCGCCAGUCCCAGGCGGUAACCAGAUCACCCCCUUUCCUCGAGGACCUUAAACUCUAAGGUCGAGUUACGUAACCCGCGGUCACCCUUAUAUAUUCACCCACCAUUCCACACACCCCCCGUCGCCCCCUUAACACCUCUUCUCUCUUUGCCGCUCACGUCUCCAACGCCACCCAAAAAAAUAAAGGGGAAAACCCUAAGAAAUUGCAGAGAAAAGGAAAGGGAAAAAAGGAGAAAAUAGCUAACCUUCGAGUAGAAGAGGAGCGCCGUGAUCGAUCGGGCGGUGGAUGAGAGAUCGGCAGAGAUGAGCUGCAACGGAUGCAGAGUUUUACGCAAGGGCUGCAGCGACUCCUGCUUUCUGCGGCCUUGCCUCCAGUGGAUCGACUUCCCCGAGGCUCAGGCCCACGCCACCGUCUUCGUCGCCAAGUUCUUCGGUCGCGCCGGCCUCAUGUCCUUCAUCUCCGGCGUUCCCCCCUCUCAGCGCCCCGGUUCGCGCCUCCGAACCCCCUGGUUUGAUUUGAUUUCGGUCCCCGAGUUUAUAGGUGUUUGUCUUCUGACGCGCCCGAUCUCAUUUGGUUGCAGCUUUGUUCAAGUCUUUGCUGUUCGAGGCGUGCGGGCGAACUAUCAACCCGGUGAACGGCGCCGUGGGCUUGAUGUGGACCGGCAAUUGGCAUCUCUGCCAGGCGGCGGUAGAGACGGUUCUCCGCGGCGGCACGCUCAGCACACUUCCUGGUCUCGCCGCCGAGGACCACAGCGACGACGCGCCGCCGGAGUCCGACGGCCUCUGCUCCCCGCCAUUGAUGGGGUUCUCCUCCUCCGCGGCCGAGCGGUGGAAGGUGCCUGCCCCAUACGACGCGGCGGCAGCGUUGUCAUGCGAUCUAGACUUGUGUUUGACCCCUUCACCCGGCGACGGGAGUGAGGAGAAGCGAAGCUGGCGCCCGGCGACGCCGUCGAUCAACUCAGAAGGAUCGGUGACGACGAGCGGCGGAGGCGACGGUUCCACCGCCGAGCCAAGGCUUCUCAACCUCUUCGUUUGAUGGCCUGGUCCCGUUGGUUGCGCGUGCGGUUCUUCUAGUUUUAGUGCCUGCGAAAGUUUUUGGGUGCGGUUUGAGGCCGGCAAUCUUUCGAAUUAAUAUUUCCUCGUCAAUUUGCCUUUUUCUUGGCGUGCUGUGGCGGAUGACGCGAUAUUGAGGACGUCCACUGAUGCGGUGUAUUAGUCCAUGAUAGUCUUUAAAUAAAACUUCCACCUAAUCGUGCCGGUGGAUUGUUAUUUAAGUGGACAAACAUUAUAAUUUGAGUUCGAGAUCAUUGAUCUCAGUCAGGAAGUGUGAUUCUUAAAGUGUAUUCUGAAGCCAGGCAGCUCAUCAUGCGGAUCUGUAUUGUACUGUAAAAUAUCGUUCGCCACAUUGGCCUUUGGCCAUUCAGGAUUACAUAAUGCCGCGAGAUCAACAAACGCAUACUAGCGAGCGUGGUGGAGAGGUGAAGUGUUGUCGUGUUGGGGGAGAGAGAAUUAUUAUUAUAGCAGUGCGUCGGAAAGGGGUGGCGUGGGAAACGGGAGCGCACCGCAAGCGCGAGAGCUCGAGGUCGAUGGCGAGUCCCCGAGGCAGGCAGGGCCCCGCCCACGAGGGGCGGCGCGUCGCUUCACCGCACGGAAGUGGGGCGGAGCAGAGCGGGGCCCGCCAUUUCAGUGGCGCCAAUUGGAAGGUAGGCGAGCGUGUGCGGCGCUCGUCAGCAUCGUAUCCGGCCGGUGCUCCUACUUCGCGCCCCCCGCCCCGGGCCUCUCGUUGGAUGCCUCUCGGCCUCGCUUGCUUGUCCGGAUGAGGCGGUGAUGCGACGGGAAAAGAAGAAAGUGGGCUUCAUCUUUACCUCUCUAUCUCUCUCUCUCUCUCUCUCUCCGCGUCUCUUCUCGUCGCCGCAUUCAGUGGCGGGACCCAAUCUUCAGUCUCCCAACUUUCCCGAAAUCCCCAGACGGGGCGAAUCGACGUUUUAAUCUUCGAGAAUCAAGAUGUCCCUCAAAUCAGCAUUGUUUGCCUUCGGGAAUAAAGGACAAGUGGCAGGAAAGUGCAAUACGGGGCCAAAUGCUUCUCGCAAAGCACACAGAAAGCAGCCCUCCCUCCCUAUCAAACACCGUCAGUGAGAGAUGAUUUGGCGAGGAAGAAGGGGACAUCGCAAAAACCACCGUCGUCUAUUCCUCGUAUAUUCUCUGUCCUCUCUCUCUCUCUCUCUCUCUCUUUCUCUCUUUCUCGUGUAUUGUACAUUUCUCCUUUAGAUUUGUUUAAAGGUGGACGGGCGGUGCCUGGUCGAGUUCAUGCAUCAGGAGGAAUGAGCAUGCUCGAUCGAUGCAACAGGGAUUUUAAAGAUGGCAAGAGAGAUUGACUUUCAGGUUGGCUGCAGAUGGCUUUCGCCCUCUUGUGAUCAUAAAUUAGGGUUCAUCUGAUGUGUUCUUUUGAUAUGGCAUGCGGAUUGGGGGUGACGCGGAUUCCACUUUGCUUUGCUAAUUGCUGUGACGCGGAGCUGCAGACGUUGGGCUCCGCCACUUGACUCUCUCUCUCUCUCUCUCUCUCUCUCUCUCUCUCUAUAUAUAUGUAUAUAUAUAUAUAUGUAUAUAUAUGUAUAUGUAUAUAUAUGUAUAUAUAUAUAUAUAUGUAUAUAUAUAUAUGUAUGUAUAUAUAUAUGUAUGUAUAUAUAUUAGUUUCAAGAUUUAUGGAGCUUAUACAAGAAUUAGCAACAGGCUAAUUUGAUAUGUAACAGAAAUGCUAAUUUGAUAGUCAUAGCUGACAAUUGCAGACUCACAACGAGACGUUACCCCCGUGACCUUAGCCUAGGUCACAAUCUUAGCCCCAUGAUUAGAUGCAUAAUCUUUCUCUCACUUGAGUAUAGCGGUGUUGUGUUGUCUACAUCAUUACUCUCAACAACCUAAUUUUAUAUGAUCUCGGACAAACAUAAAAAUUAUAAUAUAUUAUUAUUAUAUAAACAAGUAAUAUUAAAAUCUAAAAUCAAUAACAAUAGGUCUAAAUUAUAAUACAUAUCUUUUUAUGAUUCUCAAAAUAUUUUUUUUGAUUGUUAUGAGAAACUGAAAGUUAUAAUGUCGAUAAAAAAGGAGAACUAGACUCAUCUUUUUUUCUAAUCCUGUCAUUCACAUCAUUGUUACGUGUGAUAAAUUUUGGAACAAAAGGAAGAUGAGAGAAUAUUUAUAUUUUUUUAUUGACUGAUUCACAUGAUUAAAUAUAGAUAAGAGAAGAUCUAUAAUUUCUCAAUCAUGUCAAGUAUCCACGUAUCUUUACUUAUUUAUACAUCCGCAUAUCUAAUUAUUCAUAUGAGUCCCUAGAAGGUCUUGUCCUUUUAUAAGCGAAAGUAAAGAGUCUAGGAUUAGCAUUUCAGAUAGUCUCUCCCAUCAAAUUAUCUCAUAAAGAAUGUUAUCAUAAUUAGACUUUCUUUUUAUUAAUCGAUUAUUAUAAUCAGAAUCCAAUCAUAUUCAUAAUAUAUCUUAUCUAAUUACAUAGGGUCACAUGAUUUAACAUUCUUCUACUUUACCCUUUACUUGAUAAGAUACAAAAGGGUUUAAAAUAAAGAAAAUAAAAUAUAUUUGAAAAUAAUUUUACCUAAUUAGAUUUUAAAAUUUAAAAAUUAUUUAUACACAUGUGAAUUAAAAAAACAAAUCAAUAAAUCUAAUAUAUACAAUAAUAAUAUAUUAAAUUUGAUUAGCAAUGUGAGUCAUAAUGGUUAUAUAUCAUCAAUAUUAUAUUUCCUUCUAUAUUUCAACCCUUCCUAAUACAGUUCAAAAGAACCCUGUACUUUAUCUUAUCAAGAUAAUUUUUUCAUUACAUUCAAUUAUAAUGUACAUAAAUAAAUAUAAACUGGAUAGUAGAAAUAUAUAAUUUUAAGUACAUAAGUAAGAAUAUCAAUUAUACUAUCCAUUCAAACAUGUAUAAUUAUAUCUUUUAUAGGUUACUUACAAACUCAAUCAUAAGAAUAUGUUCUUUCGAUCACUUUAGACGAUUAGUCCUAAGUGAAUGGAUUUGAAUAACAAUAAUCUCUCGAAUGAUAAAGAGUACCAAUCUAUAUCUCUUCAAUGUCAAGAUUAAAUUUUGAAGUUUUUACUAUCAUUGAUUAGCUAUUUUCUAAGAAUCUUGUAUUACCUGAUUCAACUAUCCUUAUAUUAUGAAUAGAGCAAUAAAAUCUAUACCUAUUUAAAUUUUUUGGAUAACUAAUAAAAUAUCAAAAAAAAAUCUUUGAAUAUAAUUUCUUUUCAUAUGAAUUGAAAACCAUUAUCUUUAUAGAACAAUCCUAAAUAUAUAAAUAUUACAGGUUGGGUUUAUUGCUAAUAAUGGAAUUGAUUUACUAGAAAACGUAUUCAAGAUAUAUAUUAUUGUUCUUAAGUAUUCUUCUUACAUUGAUUCGGGUAUAGAAUAAUAAUCCAUAAUGCUCCUAAUAAUAUUCAUAAAUAUAUGAUUUCACAUUUAACUAAAAUUAUGAUCGGAUUCAUCAUAAUUAUCAUAAAAUUUAUCACCCAUAUUAGAUCUAAUAAUUUUGACUUCUCUUAUCUAAUUGUCUCUCGAUUUCAUUUAUGUAUACUUAAUGGUGUCAAUAGUUAUAGACCUUAUAUAAAUUAGAUAUAUAUAGUGAUAUCUCAAUAGGUUAUCAAUAAAGGUGAUAAAAUAUCUCUCUUCGCUAAAAUAGAAACAUGGAGUAACCCACAAAUAUAAAUAUAUAUAAUCUCAAAGAGUUUAUGAAACUAUAUUUUAUCAUAACAUUUGAUUAUAUGAUUAUUGUAAACUCAAGGAUUCACAUUAAUUCUAUAUAGUCUAUCAUAUAAAAUUUAAAGGUUAACUUUUAUCAAAUCAUACUAAGUUUAUAACCACCGAGAGGAAAACAAUAUCCUAACAAUUAAGAACAUAUUAUGUAUCCUUAAGAUCCAUUAAAUAAAUCAUAUGUAGCCGUAGGUAAUAAGUACCUAAAUAUUUCAUUCUUUUUUAGUUUUUAUAUUAAAAUGAAUCUUUAUUAUUAGUAACUUAUGUUGAAGUAUAAUAAUCCAUCCACCAAAUAUUAGAAAUGGAUUUCUCUAACGUUUGAUUUGAAACAAAGGUCAAACUUAUAUUUUUCCUUUUCAAACCAAACAUUAUAAUUCUUCACAUGACAUUUUUUUGCCAUGGAAGUAAUACGUUACUGUAAAGAUUUUUUUUAUGAGUUUGUAUAACACUUAUAAACUUAGGUGAUUUACGCCUCUAACUUUCUUUUAUUAUUACACACUCCUUGAUUAGUACUCAAAAUAUUAUGAGUCUUUUAUAUUUUAAUCUUAAUUCUUUCCAAAUAUAUAUAUUAGUUGACUCAUUUAAGUUUUACUUAUUUUUAAUUUUAUUAUAAUGAAUUUUAAAUUAGUCAAACUAAGAAAAAAAUAAAAUUAAGAAUAAAUUAUACGAGAAAUGACUCAACUACAUUCAUACUCAAUAUUAUUGAGCUUACAACUUUAUCAGCCAUGUUGAGGAUAUAAUACCGAAUUCCUCAAAUUCUAUUAUACUAAAUUUCAGUCAGUUUUUUUUAUUAAUAUGUCAUCUAAUGACUUGUAAAUAAACUUAAAUUGAUCAUUAAAUAAUCCAAUACGCUAGUUGUAUAUUGUAAAGAAGUAUAAAUAUUACUAAUAAUUAUCAUAAAAUUAAGUUUUUUAAACCUUUUUUUAAUAGUUAUCUUAAUUAUUUAUUCCAUAAAAGUUUUAGUAAUCAAGGUCUAACACACAGUGUAAAUUAUAUAUGCUCAAACUAUUUACUCUAGAAAAUAUAAGUACAUGAUACAAUGAAAGAAGCACCACUAUAAUAAUAUAAUAUUAACACUUUGAGUUUUUAGGUAAUAAUGACUAUUAAUAUCAUUUCUAUUGGGUGAAAUAUACAAUUGACACAUAAAAUUACCUUAUGGAAUAGUAUUGUUACCUUUGGGUAUAUAUACCUAAACUAUAAUGAUAUCUAAUACAAUAUGAUUCUAGCUCAUCAUAUAAUUAUUUGAAAUGGAUUCUUUUUUAGAUUAUCUAAAUCUCAUAAUCAUGUGUUUCAUUAUGAAUAUCAAAAUUAAAAUUGAUCAAAAUAAAAAUAAUCAAAAUUUGAUAUUUUCCUAAAUUUGAUCAAAACUUAAUUAAUCAAAUCUAAAUCUAGUAAGCAAUUAAAAUAUAAACACGAUCAAGUUUAAUCAAAAUAUUUGAUUAAAAUAAAUUAAAUUAGUUAAUUUUAUAAUUGAGGACAUUAGCUAGAAUUUUUUAAUUUUUGAAAGGUAAAACUAUAGCUUUUAAUUAGGAUAUACAACUAAAAUUUUUAAAUUCUUAAGAGUAUAGUUGGAAAGUAAACUUAGGGAUAUAGAUGAAAAGUAUCAAAUUUAUGAGGGAUAAAGCUAUCUUUUUUAUUAAAAACUUUAAUCGCUCCCUUUUUGUGAUCGCUACGUGAUGCGCGACCACUCCUGGCAUCGCAACUAUCAUUUGCGGCUACUACGAGGCAUGGCCACCGCCACCAUGUAUAGUUGCCUCCCUGCCCAUGCAUGUUGUGUCCGCAUGCCGCCCGGCAAUCCACCAGGGUCGUCAUAGUGCAAUUGUGCACACACACACCUUCUAGCAGCCCUAUUGGCCUUCAACGUCUAGUGAUGACGGUCGCGACCAGUAGAUGCUACCACAGCGACAUUAUUGCAAUCGUCGCAAUUGCUGUAGGCAACAACAUUGCUGGUACAAUUGCUAUACGCAACAAUAGUGCAUAGCCUUCGCAGCCAUCAUAGGAAGUGACACUAUUAUAGCUGCCAUAGGGCUGUCGCACUCUAUAGUACUUGCACUGGGUAUGUAGCUAUUGCUUACGACUAGGCUAGCGACCACUAGAGGCUAUCGCCCUCAAUAAUACUAUCACCGACAGCAAGCUAUCGAUAGUAGUUCAUCGAUCAAGCACGAGUAACCUUACAUCACUCGUAAACAAGUAAUAGGAUGGAUUAGAUGGAAAAGCAAAUCAAGAAUACAAACAAAUCAUUCAUGCAUCAUAAAUAAAAACUGAUUCACGCCUUUCUUCUUAUCCUUGAUAGGACCCUUAUGAGUGAUUAAUUUAGAGACAAAAGAGAGAUAAAAGAAUAUUUGUAAUCUCUUUGGUUCACAUGACUAAAGGAAGGUGAGAGAAGAUAUGUAAUCUCUCAAUCACAUUAUAUAUCCACGGAUCCUUAUUUAUCUGUAUAUCCACGUAUUCAAUUAUUCGCAUUGAGUUCCUAAGAGGUCAUGCCCUUUUAUAGAUGAGAGCAAAAUAUUUAGAAUAAAUAAUUAAAGAUGUUCCUCUCCUAAGAAAUCCUAUCAUAAUUAUAUUUCUUUUCUAUUGGUCGAUAACCGUAAUCAGAAUUCAAUCAUAUUCAUGAUAUAUCUUACCUAAUUAGCUAGAACUACUUACGAUAUAUCUUAUCUAAUUAGAUAGGAUCAUAUAAUCUAACUUUUCUGUUCGAAUAUCUCAAUUUUCCCAUACCUCAACUCGAGAUAGAUUGGAAAGUGACUCCCCAUGGACUCCAAAUCACUUUACAUAUCUAGAUUCAUAAGAGUAAUGAUAUGUAUCUAAGGCAUCAUAUAUGUACAUGAACUUUUCCUUUGAUUUAGUAUGAGACGAACAACAUUCUGGUAUACAGGCAAGCCAAUUCUUGCAAGAAAAAAAAAAGGGGGGGAGGGGCAUCGCUAUGAUGAUACACAUACACCAAAAGAGAUCAAAAGAACCGAAAAGAAGAUACACAAAUCAACCAUCCCAGGCCACAAAGGUAGUAUUAGGCCAUUAGCUUUCCAGCAAAGCAAACCAAUACUUCAUGCUUUAUUUCCUUUCGAAAUCCUCCGGUUAUAAAAAGAAGAGUUUGUUGUGAUGUUAGUGACCGCAAAUUUAGCAAGAGAAUAUUCUCUGUGCUUAGAUCAGGUGGGCUCCUCGUUUUAGUUGUAUCAGAUGCCCUUGCAGGCUACAUUGUUUUACCUGGUUCAUCAGUUUGUGUUAAGAAAUUACUGCAUGAUACCUGGAAUAAGGAAAAAGGAAAUGGACGCAGAAGUGAGACUUACAUGCAUAGCUGCUACUGUAGAUAGGAGAUCUCUAGAUCGAUCGAGUAGUGCUCGUUCUUGGGCAGCCACUUUAGUUAUGUUAGAUACCAAGGUACUCAUUCCUUCUACCUGUACAAAUGUAUAUGCAUAUGGAAAUCAGGUAAGAAAAAAAUCUUAUGGCGUUAACCUAUGUCCUAUGAUCAGAUACAGUAGUCUGUGUUAAAGGAUGGAUCAGACACUUGGAAUCAUGUAGAUGACAUGAGGUAGGUUGUUCUUGGAGAAAACACAUCAGAAUGAACCAAUUAGCUGGUAUGUGACGAAGAAAUUUCCCUUUGAACAUGUCAGUGAAUUAUCAGGACACAGGUUUUCUGCAGAGAAUCUCCAUUUGUUGCUAGAAACAUGACGUGGAACGAAAUUACUUUUAAGCUGCAUGUUUUUGAGCCCUCAACCUCUUUGUAUUGGAGCUGUUUGUGCCAAUUUCUACAAUUGAGUCUUUUUGGUUUCUAUUUUUAUCAUUCCUCUCAAUCGAUAAUUUUUGUUCCUGAUGCAAAAGGCUGACACAGAAUUUGAAAUAUGCACCAGUUUUAUAUACUCCAAAGCAUCUAAAGCAAUGAUGGAAGAAAAGACUAUCACUUGACAAGAUGAUUUUGUAUAGGCAGUCACCUUUGAUAGUAGAGAGAAAAUUGAGGAUCCCAUUGCCUGCAUCAUAUCGACUGUUGAACCAACAGCAUCUUUAACUUCCAAGAUGUCUGCCUGUGAAAUAAGCAAACCAUGUUAUUUCUCAAUGUUUGAACUGAUAUCACCGAGUUCAUUCAUUGAAAUGAAGAAUCAGAAGAUACUAACCUUGGCUCCACUAACAACAGGAAGACGGAGUGUGCUAGCAUUUAAUGCUUCAAUAGAUCCGCAUAAUGAGCUUGAAUGAUCUUUCUCCAUGACAGACCAUUCAUCCAAAGAGGCCAUCUGCACUAACGAAGUUGUAGAAAUUCAAAUCUGAUGCUCAUAAACAACUAAAUGUAUAACAAAUGGCUGGUUUCAACAAGGACAUGUAAUCAGCUAAAAUUAACCAGAUCAAUCAAAUUGGCAAAAGUUCAUCUGCAUAAACUGGGAUUUAUAAGUUUAACAGAGAAUUGGACAGGAGUAGUGGUAUCAUUUGACAUUGAUCAUGACUAGCUUGGGUAUAAGCAACCUAACUGAUUCUUAUGAAGACUUGAGUUGCGAUUCUCUCUUAUAAGUUCAAGGGUAUCAGGUUGGACCCAAACAACUCUUGAUUUGAAUUGACCAUUUUUAGGAUUCACCAAUUUUUGAAAAACUUGACACUAACUCUUAAGUAAUUCACUAUUCAUUGUCAAUUUGUUAGGCAGAAACAUGUCAAGAAUGUAUUGUUGAACCUAGCAAAUUGUGUUCAUUAGAUUUCACCAUUGUCACUCGAGUAUUUUCUCUCAAGAUAUUUCACUUGUAGUUUUCGGUUGAACCAUAAGAGGAAUGAUAUGAUUUCUGUCUCCAUGGCUACUUAUUGAUGACAAAGAGAUGAUUUUAUUCCACUUAUCAUAUGAUUGUCUGUUCCUCUCCUCCAUACACACUUUUGGAGGCUAGAGGAAUCCUGGAGAGAGUUUCAACUUGGCACUUUGGUUUUAUGAAACUACUCUGCAUAAACAACAAGAGAAUUGGGUAAAAUCUUCCAAAAAACAUUUUGGUUUCUUUGUUGUCCAAGGCUUCCCAACUAGGAAUAUGGUGGAUGGUUGGCAUCUUGAGCAAAGACCCACAUUUACGAUUACUUCAAAUUUUCAUCGAACAUACACUGAUUAAUCAAAAUGUCCAAAUAUACUUACAUAACUAUGAGGGAGAGAAGAACCACCGAACUAAAUUAAAACUAAAAGAUAGGUUAACAAAGACUUUCACAGAUAAUCAAACAAAGAGACUAUCAGGAAACAAAGGCUUACUUGCCCCUUAAGAAUGGAAGUUAGCUUUAAAUUUUGUGUCAAAAGUUGUAGCUUGAUCCUUUUAAUAGUGAUGGAAUCACGCAACUUUGAGGUAGUUAUCCAUGCAUCAUACAGUUUCUUCUGUAAGGAUCAAAUGAAAACUUUAGCUAUUAAAGCACCAUAUAAAUUUCAUUGACAUAGAUGAAACAAAAAGCAUUAGUUAACCAGAAUUUUAGACUUGAAUGAAAGCAUAACUAUAACAUUCAGGACAAAAUUCAUGAGCAAAAACAUCAAAUUAAGGAUGAUGUAACUGAAGGCAAAACAAUAGAUGAAAAGGAUGAUUUAACUGAAAGCAUAACUGAAACAUUUAGCAAAAAUAAUAGCAAGAAAAAAGACAACUAAAGCUCCAUCUGGCUUAUAUGAGACGAUCCGUCUUUUCUUGUAAGAGUAGUCAUCCAUUCCAACAAUGUGCACUAGACUAACCUUCAAUAUAUGUAGUUUCUAAACAGUCCAACAUUUUGAUCCUUAAAGCAUGAUAGUACUUGUAUACUACACAUCCUUUUAAAUGUUUCUUUAAACUGCAGGGUUAUCGGAAAACUAUAUACAACACAACAAUUAGUCGCUUUUUAAUCUUCUUUUUCUUUUCAUGAGCAACAUCUUCCAUAGUCUUUUCUUCUUCUUCUUUAACAGUAAAUCAAAUAUUCUGCAAUCAUAUUUUUCCAUUAUUUUAAUGCACCGUAUUUUCUUUUGUUCCAAAGGACACUAGUAAUUGCCUUGUUCUGAGCUAUCGGAAACAAAUGAUUUCACAGAAUAUAUAAAUCAUGAAAGUCAAAUCAAACAGUAGUAUCUGAGAAGAGAAGAGGAUCAUUAGGACAAUUUCAACUCACAACCAAGGACAUAAUAAAGUUCUAAAGUUUCAUCAUAUUUUCAGUACAGUAAUAUUACAAGUGUAGUACAAGUGCACAACAGGAAUUAUUGAUCAUAUACUGAUCAUUAUAUGAAGCGGAAAAUAAGGAAAAGAAAAUACUUACAAGUUUGGUCUUUUUAAUUCAAGAACAUGAAACGAAAGCUAUAGUUAUUUGGUAAGGAAUGAAAGACUGAAAAAGAAACAAAAGUUUUGUGCCGAAAGGAAUUAGAGAACCUACUCUUAUGCCAAAGCAAACUACUUGACAGAAUAACCAAUUUACAUGUACGACAUGUAUGAUCAUGUUAUGCUGGGGUAGUCAGCACAAAUAGGAACUUGAUCACAAACUACCGCAUAUAUAACAAGCACUAAAUUGAAGAAGAAAAUUAACAUCAACAUUACCUCUACAGCUAGUUUCUGCAUUAGCAGUGCAGAAUAGGCCCUGGCAUUAACACAUCGCCAUUGCAAAUGCCGGUUAUCAAGCAACCUCAACAAGUGAGCUUCCUCAAUCCGAUUCUCCCCUUUCUUUGCCCUCCGCACUUCAGUAGAAAAGCUUAUAAUUGAAGGGGCAUUGCCCGGCUGACCAAAUGGUGAGCUGUUCAAUAAUACAUUACUCCUUGUCCGCAAUGGACUAGCCAUACCCCUCGUUGGUGAAGUUAUAGGCUUGCUAAGAGAAGAAGGUGCCAUGGUUCCAUGGUGCAGAGAAGCUGGCCUCGAACAAGACAAAGGGUUAUCCACCGACAAUUUCUUCACCGUUCCCAGCUUUGGUUGUACCACGGGCCUUGCGUCCGGUGAAGAUGAAGGGGAGCAAGGCUCAGGAUGCCGAUACAGCCGGUUGUUCGUCUCCUCCCAAAAUCUUGCCGGCACACUGAUCCCACGGGGAGUCACCUUUGCCCGUGGGAGCACAAUGAAUUCUGGCGUCCCAGAAUUACUACCAGAAGACACACUAUCGGUAUCGGACGAAGCUGAGAGAUCACCCUGGUCAAACGAAGCCCUCCUCGUAGUAUCAUCAAACAUCAUAGACUGCUCGAGUAACCUGACGGUGGCCAAAAUGGGUUCUUUCUUCUCAGAGGAACAAUUCAAGCUCCUCGUCAACGGGUUGGACGGCGGAGCUCUCGAAGCGGGCCACAGGUGGUGGCUGUCUGAGGGCCUCGAAUUCUCUAAAUGAUCACCAGCCUUCGCCAGAGGGGCACAAGUGGCACCAUGUCUCCGCCGCUCGGACGUGGGGGAGGCGGGCUUGGGUCGGCUGAUCCGGUAGAAGAAGGAUUCCCCCUGGAAGGAGACCGAGAGGCUCCGGGUCAUGCAGAAGGCACGGGUGGCAGCGGAGGGCUCGGCCGGAGUUGGGCAGGGAUGGGCGACAGUCGUGGAAGGCCGAGCCCGACCGACGGAGUGCGAUCGCUUCUGGGCCGUACACUGGGGCAAGGCCGGCAGCGUCGAUGGCCGGGGGGUCACGAACGGCGACGGGAAGCGCCGAGAGCUCGAAGAAGAGAAGGUAGUGGUGGUAGAACACGAAGUGGCCGUAGAGGACGAGGGGCAGCUAUAAGAGGGGAGGAACCGAGAAUUGACCUUCUUGGUGCGAGCUCGUCCUGCGCCGGUGGCGGCAUUGUCCUUCUCGGAGGGGAUCAGCAUCCGGGGAUGAGGGUUACGGAGACCGUCGCUAUGCGGCGGGGCAGAAGCGUUCUUGUGGGGAUUCGGAGAUUUCCUGGACCCGGCGGCGACGGUCGUGGCUGCGGUGGCGGCCACCAUCGAUCUAGUUCGAGAUCCCGGCGACCUAUCUCGAUCUCCGACUUUCUUCUCGAACUACGACAGCCGGUAGCGGGAAAGGCAGUUAGCGGUCACAUCGCCAGGCGGAGCACCAGACCCCAGACCUCUUCUACACUCCUUGACGGAGGAGAAUUAGAAGAAUUGGAAGCAGAAGAAGAGAGUGGGAAGCAAAGAGAAAGGCUUUGCAUCUCAGAGCAGGUGGAGGUUUAGAUUCUUUCCCCCUCUCUUCUCAUCUCUCUCUCUCUCUCUCUCUCUCUCUCACACACACACAUUAUAUCCCCAAGCUUUCUUUAUUUGUAUUUUAGUGGGGUGUUUGCUCCCUUGCUAAGAUAGGAGUGGGAGUGUAUAAUAUAAUUGAGAUUGUAAACUGGAGUUUGCCAACAGUGAGCUAACACAUGAAAUGCAAUAAAUAGUGGCACAAAGAGAGAACAAAUGGGUGGGGGCAGAGGAGCAUCCAAUCCCUCAACAUCUUAAGCUACGCCUGUCGAACAACCAUAUAAAUGAUGUGAUGUAUUAAGAACAAAAUACAUGAUGAUGGGGUAGUUUCCACCAAAGGGAUCUCUCACCUUUCUCUGCACUUCUUCUCGGUUUUAGGAACUGUGUGGGGGUCGAGGUGGUCAAGAAGGAAACAUUAGUUGAUGAGUCCGGCUCAUGUCCCUUAUCGGAUCCUUAUUUUGGUGGUCAUCAUUAAUGGUUUAGGCAGGAUUAGGUGUGCAUUGCUCUCAGCAUGCUCAGCUUGCAAAUGCAGGUAAAGCUCUUACCAUGCUGAGCCCAUGGACAACUUUUGUCUCUUCUUCUUCCACGGACUCCCAACUGUACCUUCUUCCGCAACGAUAUCGAAGGGAAGGAAGAUGUUGAUCUACGUGGGGUUGCAGUAUGUAUCUUCCUGGGGACAUAUGGUGUGGUGAGACAUCAGUGUCAAAUAGGACAUUUUAGCUAUAUAUGUAUAUGGUAUAGUGGCUUCGUGAGGUGAAUGAACAACGUAAUAGAAUUAUUGUUAGGUUAGGCUUGGAGUCAGCUUUCCGGUCUCCCUUCCCACCCCCUUCCCCUCCCCCGUGUGUGGGGUGGGUGGGUGGGGAGGAGGGGGGCGGGGGUGGGGUGGUGGGGCACUACCGACCUCUCUCAACACGUUGUCAUUGUGCUCAUCAGAGCCCACGGGCGGUUCUCCGUCCUCCUCUUACCGGCCAAUGAGUGUCUCAACACAACUUUAACUACGUAUGACAGAUGCACAUGCAUGGUCGAAUUUGGUCUUGUCAAAUAUUUAAAAAAAAUUUUAAUUUAAUUCGAUAAGUUUUCUAUAAGAAAAUUAAAAUUUUAAAAUUAAUUACAAACUCUUUGAAUUAAGGUUUGUCAUACGAAUCAUACCGCUCGAUACGGGUGGUACGUAUUGGUCCGACAGGCUAUCGGUACGGGAACCGUCCGUUACCGAACGGACCAUGCUAUAGUGCUACAGUGUACAUUUUAGCAGUACUACGGUGUACCGUUCGAUACACCCUAGUAUACCGCUCGGUACGUUGGUACUGUACUGUACCGAGCCAACCAAGAACAAAACAUCUGUUCUUGGUUAACAUCAGAAAGUAGUCCUUCCCCAAGUAUCUAAGCUUUCAAAGAUCAAGAAAUUUUGCAUCAUAUCCAAAGGAAAAGUAGAAGCAGAAAGAUUUAUUGUUAGAGUAGCAGAACAUGAGAGAGAGAGAGAGAAGCUAUCAGACAAUAAUUUAUAAGGAGACUCAGAUCAUCAGUACCAAACUGGUGUAGACAUUGAAAGACCAAAAUUUGCAGUUCGUCACCUCUACCUGUACAUCAACAUUUCAAGCUUAGCGAUAAAGACAGUAAAGUUCAAUGAGAUCUGGUCCCCUUUGUGAACAUUCCACCACCAAGCUUUUGGGGUCCAUUGUCUUUAUAUUUUACAGAGAGGCACAGUUCAUCCACUUUUCUCAUCUCCAUCCUUUUAUCACGAGAAAUCCUUGUGGGUCUGCAUGCAGCACCAAAGUGAAAGCCUUUACACUGCAGGGAAUCUCACUUUUGUCGAAGCUCUGACCUCUGUGUUCCCCCAACACUUUCCAUUAAGGCACCAAAGAGACAUCAACCUUCUGAAGACAUCAGUUUGGAUCCAAAGAACUUUGCGUGUAGGAAGCAGUUCAUGUCAUGCUGACUGCAGUUGUGAAACCUCAUACAAUGUCAUGGUGGCCAAAGAAGACAAGACUUUCUUCAACUCCAGUCAUAAUAUGGCCAAAGAAACACAAACAUUGGACUUGUGGAAAUAUGACUCGAGAGAUUUCCAACACAAACAUGAAAGUUUGGUAAAUAAAUUACAGCAAAAAAGAAGAACAGAAAGCUAUUAGAAUGAUUGAUCUUGUGAACAGGGAAAGGAAAUCAGUUAAACCUAUCAUUAGCUUGCUGCUUCAAGAUCUGUUCACAGAAACCUAGCUCUCAAUUGAUUGCCUAUGUUGACAAAAUGCACUACAAAGUGAGGUAAAGUGACAUGUAAUAUAAUCAUGUCAAUAUGAUAGUGCGAUAGCAUGGAGAAGAUUCAAGCUUGUGCAUUAACAAUGGAGGUUCAUCGUAAUCUCCUUCAUUUUCUUCCAAGACAUCUAUCUCUCCCUGCCUGAGUAGGCUCGGUCUAUUUCUUGACAUAAAGGCGAAAGGUAUGAUGUCUCAAUCAAUUCACAGUUCUAAGAUUAUUCUGGCAUGUUUUACUGAUCUGCUUUUGAGAGCAAGCGUCCGGUUUAACCGUUGUCAUUUGAAGACUUGAAGAACAAGACGUAGGGAUCUUAUCGGGACGAACCAAGGAGCGUCGUCUUCCCCAAUGUGUUGCAACGAAUAGUUGCAGAAGAUCAUAUCUUCCGGAUAAAAACAUCAAACCGAGCGUGGAUAUCAUACAACCACAUGCAUAGUCUUUGUUUCACCAUCGUACAAGAGAGUCAUAGUAACUUGCCGUACUUGGUUUAUCCUGAUGAGUAUUACAACACCAGAAACUUAGUAAUUAACAGUACACCUACAGAUCUGAUAAGUGAUAGGCGAAGCAGAGCUGCUCAGGGAGAUGAUCCAUGCUUGGGUUGGCUUGGUGGCGUUGGCCGGGGGAUACAUGGCAUGCGAGGAGUACCGUGUUCGAUUGGUCAGGAUUUGAUGGCGGCUUUCGAGCUUGGCACUGUAUCGAAUGGGAAGUAAUCCUCCACAUUUGCACCUGCUAAAUCCCUUCCAUUUCUCAUGGCGCUGAUGUCGAAGCUGUCGUCCUGAGAAGAAUGCAUGCUCGUUAGUACCAUUUGAUCAGGGAGAAGGCAUUCUGCUAUGCCUGUGAAACACCAGUGAUGGUACCUUCAAUUUCUUGUUGGUGAUGAUCGCCAUGACACCUCCACCCUUUGCGGGCACAGUUGAGGCAUAACCUGCAGCAAUGGCGACUCUAUUGCUGGAGGAAAAGAACGCAACCGCUGCUCCAGCCACGAAAACCAGAGCAAAGAAGCGCAAAGAUCCCAUCUUUCCACAGGAUUCUUCCGCACCACAAUGAUAUCUGCCGCGUGCCUGUAAGCUAGGCAAAGAAGGGGCUCGCAAACAGGCCCUUAAGUAACAGAGGAGCCCAUAAUUGUUGGGACAGGGGAGAACAGGGGCUGAAGGGAACCGGAGCAGGGAGUUCCUUUCGUCACCACCGCCACAGAUUUUAAGGGGGCACCGGGAAACCCGCCAUGACUGCCUCCCACGCUCCCUUCCCUCCCUCCAUUUACUAUAGUACGCUGAGAGACCGGGAAUUAAAAACCAGGGAGCGUGAGCGUGAGCGUGGGCGUGGGGAAGAGAGCACGUCACGCUCCGCGGAUUGCAGGCAAAACCACUAAAGAGUAGUGCGUUGUGCGUGACCAUAUUACUACUGGCUUAAUUAAUCUGUCGUCAGCGACCGAUAUAAAGAAGGCCAUAUUGCAGAUUCCGAAGCAGAGGAAUCUAUUUAGUAAGUUAACACUGGUAAAAGAUGACAGUAUUUACCCUCAAUUCCCAUGGCUUCUCCGUAACUGCGUGAGGUGGGCGUUAAUUCUGCUUCUUGUUUCUGUCAUGCAUUUGAUCAAACAAGUACCGGACGUAUUUUAAGGAAACGCACAGAGUACCGUUCGGUGCGUCGCCUCUCAAAAACUCGACGUUUACUCCCUCCAUCAAUGGCGAUACCCUCUCCUCUCUCCCCUUCUUCGAUUACGUCAUGAAAUUUCUCUACCCAUGACCCCUUUCAGCGCGAGUUUGCUGAGGAAGAGCAGCUCUCUGUCGGCAAAUCCGGGUAGGUGGAAGCUCGAACGACUUGCGACCACUUGCCGUCAUCGCUGUUUCCGGAUUCCCCCCUGCUUCAGGUUUUGCCUUUUCAUCGAGUAAAUUAACAUUCGACUGGAGAUUAUGAGUCGAGGUGGAUGUAGUCAUCGAUCGAUGAUGAGCUUGGGAUUUUGUGAGCAACACCUGUUUGCUUUAAUGUCCAAAAGAGUCUUAGUGCAUGUAGUCACCGAGCUGUAGUGAAAAUAGAAAGAAUUCUCGUGAGAGUAUUCAUGUGUUCCAUCUCAUACAACCUGUGAUCAUGACAUACCCAACGACGUCUCGGUCCCAACAUUGGCAAUACAAACAACAACCUUUUACGUUUCGUAUUGAUUGAUGCAAUCAAGUGAUAGGUUCCCCCGGUCCACUUGCAUCUCACGCUGUCAACGUGGUAGGUUCCCCCGGAAUUAUUAGGCCUCGGUCACAUGUUGGCCUAUGGGAGCAUCAAACAUUUGUUCUUGUUUUAACCAACAUGGAAACACACGCACGUCUCUUGUUGGAUCAUCACCUUCCAUUUGUUAGUGGACUUGUCACCAGACCUAUGGAAGUACUCCAAAGAAAUUACAAAAGCAUCUUUCCAGAACAUAAAUUACAAAUUAUAUAGUUGGCCUCGGCAGGGAAAAGACGAGAUACGAAAACAUACAUAGUGACCAUCCACUAAUCGAUACAAAAAUAUGAUUGAUUGGCAACUGAUAUGAGCUAAUAUCAGCAUCAUGAUACCUUACCAAUGCACAUAACACGUAUCUUGAGGCCGGCCAUUUAUAUGGAGAGUGGUCUUUGGCUCAGCAAGCCCUAACAUUUGCUAUUUACAACAGCCACCGAGAAGGUCGCCACGCGUGCGACGCCCUUAGAACCUGCGGCAGAAGCAGAGGCCGGCCCACUCCCACACGUGCGACCCGUCCCGCCGGCGCGUCCGCCUCGGUGCUGCCACCCGGAGCGGUCCGCCCCGCCCCCCCGACUCCGUCAGCAACUCCCACAAGACGUGCACGUCCUCGUACUCGCACGUACUCACCUCCUCCCUCAGCCGCGUCAGCCCUGCGAGAUAGCACCGGGAGAAGAGGAAUUAAACCCGGCCGUCCGAAGGAGGCAUUGGGUGCGGAAGAGGGACUCACCGGAUUUGCUGAUCCCGAGGCGGAUGGCGACGCCUGCCCAGACCCUCCUCAUCGGCGAUGUUACCCGAUCCCACCAAGCCAUCCCUCGCCCCAGAGAGAGAGAGAGAGAGAGAGGGGUUUGAAGAGGACGCUCACCGAUCCGGUGAGGUCCUCCAAACGCCCCCUUUUAAAAGCCACAUCUCUGUUCACCGCCCAACCCAAACCCUCUACCGAGUCGCCACGUGCCGGUCACCUGCUCUUGGAAUACCUCCCCGUCGGACGGGAAGAAUUUUCUUUUCCCGGUCCCCAACGGUGCCAUCCACCGACACGUAAGUGUGGGGACCAGCAGAUCAUCCCGUUAUCCGUGAUUUGAAUCGGAUUGGAGGCAUCAGAUCUGAAACAGCAGCUGACUGUGCCGUAUACUCGCGCGAUGACUGCGAUAAAAAGUAUGGGCGUGUCCGACAUCGCGGCCCACAUGCGAGUUAGGUAUGCCAGAGCGUAACGGUCGCGAACGGUGGGCCGGGUUUGAUCCGAGUAGGUUAACUACCAGCGGCGGACCGUUGGGGGCGUGCUGCAGGAAACGGCCGUAGUCUUGCAACCCCGUGAUCAUUCGAUCCGUCACUAUCGUGAUUCAAUCAUGGACCUUCCUCUCUAACCUUUUAAUAGGACGAAUUUUCGAAAAAAAAUAUUGGUUUUUUUUUUUUUCUCUCUAAGAGAAUUAUAUAUAUUUUUAUUUUCCCCAUUAAAUAUCGUUAUUUCUUAAAAAUUUAAAGACACUCUUAUGUUAUUUUUCUUCUCGUUUAUUUAUAAUUGCUAAGUUGAUUUUUGAUUGUUUGAGUUAGAUAUCGAUUCGGAGCCAAUCGAGAUCCUCUUCUCUGUUUAUCUCAUCUCGACUAUAAUCAAUUCAUAUGAUUAUGAAGAUAUCAAAUCUUACAAAACUAGGCCGAGGAUGUUUCUGACUAAUAUCUCUCUUAUGAUUAAGUUACUUCGAAACUCAAAAAGAUUUGGAACGAACUCUAAAAUUAUAUUCAAGAGUAUAUAGAAUACACAUAGGGAGUCUUUUUAUGGUGGACUCUUAAAGUCAUUACUUUCGUGAUUGGUGCUAGUUUUGGGGAGUGAAUAUGUAUUUCUCUUGAUCUUAAUUGUCGUCGGAUUAUAUAGAGCCCGAUAGUAUAGUGACAAUUCAACUAAUUCGAUCAUAUGAUAUUAAAAGGUUAUCUUAUGUGACACUAUGGUAUUGGACAAGCAUUGUCCAUGUAGGCCAAAGGUAUCAGGCAUGCAUCAUUUGUGUGAGUCCAAGGUGUCAGGCUAAUGUUCAUGUUUUCAUCUUCGUAUCAAUAACAAGUUCCAUUUUAGUCUGAUUUAGUAUAUUAAUAAUUGACUGAAUGAAUUAAUAUUUAGUUGUGAAAUCUCUUUAUUCUUCUCGUUCUUCUUUAUAAUCUCUUGAUUUCAUAACUUUUCAAGAAAAUUUACAAAAUUACGACACUAGCUAAACUCUAUACGCCUUAUUUUUAGGCUAAACACAAAGAAAGAGAGAGAGAAGAGGAUGAUCAUAUUGUCAUUUUGGAGAAUAAAGUUAGAAAUUAAGUUUCAAAUUGGGUUCAAGCCCAAGGUGAUUAAAAACUCUUUAUAAAUGGAGCCUAAUUGGCCCAUUUUGUUGCAUGCCACUCAUUUUAUUCUUUGUUUAAGAUGUGUCAUGUUUCGUGAUAAUUGACCUAUUAAUUUUAUUGAACCCAUAUUGCUCGUCAAAAUACUUAAGCCCAUUUUUGAUGUAAUAAUUUCGUCUAUAAGUAACUCUUUCAAUCCUUCAUCGUGCCCUAAUACUACGGAAGUUUUGAUACUAAUUGUCAUGAUAUAACUUUGUCCAUAGAUAAUCAUUUUCUACUCAAGAUCUUCACUAGACCUUAAUAUUAGAUUGGCUCUAAUAUCAAUUGUUACGAUUUUGAUGGGAUAAUUGACACAUUAACUUUAUUGAACCAAAAUUAUUGAUUAGAAUCCUUCAAUAAAAAUUGAUAAUAAUAUUAUCAAAUCUUAGUUGGGGUGUUACUUAGGUAAAUUAAACCUUUUGUAAGGAAAAGAACAAGAAAAAAAUAAUAUAAUGAUUAGUCUUUGCUCCUAACAUGAAAAGGCUAAAAGUACUAUUAUAAGAAUACGAUCGUGUGAUCUUUUAGUAGGAAUAGAUGUGGUUUGAUUUCUUAGUGUGACAUUUCUAUAUAUUCAUUCACUCAUUAGUUCUUUAGUUGUACAUCAUUUCAACUCCGAUCACAUUUCAUUCAUCUCAGAGGCACAAUCGUAUUAUACAAUAACAAUAACAAUAAAAUUAUAAGUUUCAAUUGAAACAAUUAUAUUAUAAGGCUACAAAAUAAUAAAAAUAUUACGUAAUAUUCAUAUCCUCGAUCACAAGCAUUUAUAUGCAAUAAAAUUUAAAAAUAAUAAAAAAUUAUAAAUAAUGAUCACUAGCCCAAACAAUCCAUACAAUACAUAGAUAGAUAAAUACGUGAAAUCUACACAUUGUUUUAGUACAUAUUAUUUACCUACCCAAAGUGGAUUUUUAGCACAUAUUAUUUACCUUCACAAAGUACAUAUGUGGACAUAAAAAUAUCUCGAGUACAUCAAUUGAGAGGUUAUAGCUAUUGCUCUUCUCGAUCAUCUGAACUCAUUUACCAAUUAAACAUAAAUAUUUGUCAAACACACCUCUAAUAUAAUUUUAUUAAGAAACUCAUGUAAAUAAAGUUUACAUCGGCUCCAAACUUAUCGAAUAUCAAACAAUCAAAAUCUAUCGUAACAAAAUCCAUAAGGAAAAAUUAAUUAUUUUUGUCAUGUGAAAUUUAUUAUAAUGAGUAAACUAAACUUAAAAUAUUUAUAGAACAAUCAAACUCUAAAUUAAAAAAAAAUUAAAAAUAUUUUUAUGUGAAAUUAUUAUCUCCGAGUACUUUAAACAAGUUUAAAGAUACCCAAUACACGAUUGGUGGCAAAAGAAGUUGCCGAUACUUAAGAUAGAAGUAAUGGGUCAUGUCAUACACUCGGACAAGAUAAGAUUUGGCAUCCAUCAUGUCUCGAGAGGUUUCAUUGCAUGUCCUCGGUGGGCCCGGGAGAAUCCAUGCACAUUCGUGCAUUCGAUACCCUUUCUAAUUCUCACCUUCUUCCUCCUUCACAAAGCUUCUUUGUGCCAACCCUCACGUCGAGCUACAAGAGAUGGCAAUGCACAUACGCCACGCCAAACACCACUCGCCCAAUGAAUGAUCACAUAAUUUAACUCCAAGAAAACCUCUUAUUAUUAAGUUGAUCUCAAUGCCAAGAUGCACCAACAAGUUGCUGAGCGGUAGCAAUCCUAUUGUAAGCAUCUACACUUGAUAUCAAUACCAAUUCUUCUAACAAACUAAUUCUAAAAGUAUUAAGUUUAGAACUUUAUGAUGUUUGAUAGAGUGAUUAUCGAUGAUAUCACAUUGUCAAACUGACUUGAUUUUGGAUCACAUACAUACGACUAUGAAAAUAAUCGAGAAGGUGUUUCUAUUGAAAAUAUUCAUAUGUCUUAGAUAAAAAGAGAUAUCCCGAAGAGAUAGUCGUAUAUCGUUAAUGAUCGAAAGAGUUAGAUUAUAUAUAUUAAGUUUGACUCAUACUUAAAAUUUUAAACUUUUAAAUUAAAUUAGUGUCUAAUAUGAUAUAUGUUUUCCUUAAUUGAUUUGAUUUGACUAGUCAAUAUAAAAUUUCUAUAGACUCGAGCUUGUAUGACUACUAGAGUCGAAUAAGAUAUUAGAAUUAAUCUCUUGGAUGCACAAAAAUGAGGUGAAAAAGAUAAAAUCACGGAUGAAAACUUUGCCCUCUAUCAGUGUCUAAAAAUGCUCUAAUUAAGCCAAAUGGUAAUACUAAUCGAUUGGAGCAGGUGGGGGUCCUACCGAUUAAAAUAACAAAGAGGUGGGUGAGCCCCACCACACUCAAAUCCAACCAAGCUCCAAAUGUGUGCUUGUUUGCAAGCAGCGAUGGCCACGUGCCAUGUCCCUCCGUGACGUCAGGAUCACCGCAUGGGCUUUCAUCUUUCUUUGUCUCCUUCACCCAAAGAUUCCGCUCCUCCUUCUUCCAAUGGUCGAUUCAUAUUCGUGUUUAGAUUUCCUAUGAUUUAUAGGAUAGCAAUAACAUCAUAAAUUUUAAUUAUUUGAGAUCGAUUAUUAAUUAAUAUAUUUUUAAUAAUAUUUUAUAUUAUUUUUUAAUUAUAUAUAUAUGUCUGAUUUGUUGUCGAAGAAUGUCUCGAUAAACAAAAAUCGUUUACCAUGAGGUGAUAGAUAAGAUAAAUCAUAUUCAUUUUCUCUAUUUUAAGAUUUUAUUAUACCUAAAAUCAUUAAAUAUUCUUCAUAAAAUAAAAUAAAUGGUAUCGAAGAUCACUCAAUACUAUCCUCCAAUAAGUAAAAAAGAAGAGUUGCCAGUCGAAAGAUAGCCGAGAGAGAAGCUCUUGUCAACGCUCUUCUCUUAUUCUAAAGAGAAUUCAUUCUAAAGUUUAUAUUGGUUUGAUAUCAAUUUUGACAUCAAUUGAUAUCAAAUUUAUAUCAUUUGUUAUUAUUAUAUAAACAUAUAAAAUGAAUGAUAUUGAGAUACAUGUUUCGACGUGGUAUUUAAUCAAAUCCAUAAGCAUCGGACGGUAAAUAUAGACAACCAAAACCGCAAAAGUUUGGGUUGAUAUAUAUAUUACUACAUUUAACUUGCUAAUGUUAUGUCCACAACGAAAUAAUGUAUAUAAUGAUUAUCAAAUCUGAUUAGGGUUGAUAUAUAUCAUGUCAAUGAUUCAACUCAGAAGCUUGAGAUAAAUCUUAGUAUAUGUAAUUGCUUGACUGACCCAAUUAUUUAUUUAUUUAUCUUAAUUUCAACUCAUUGUUAGUAAUUUAGUAUUGACUGUCAAUUUGAUCAAGAUUAAUAUAUAUAUCAAUUUAAGAACCAAUUAAACCCAAAAGAUUAAGCUAAUAGCUUAUGGGUCAAAACCUAAUACAUGUAACUUAACUCUUUUAAUCCUCAUCAAGAUCAUAUUAUUCUCUUAUUUUUAUCUUUCUUCAUCUCACACACAUGUGGAGAUUCAUUGUACUAAUGAACAGAUCAUUAAUCAGUAGAGCUACGUGUGAAUUAUCUCCAUCACCAUCAAAGCCCUUUGUCUUGUUUGGUAUAGGCUCAAUCAUAGCGUUCGAAGAAAGAUCAAAGAUAUUGGAAGCGGCUUUUUAUUGAAUGAUUAUUAAUCUUAGAAAUUUAAGCUUUUAUGUAAUAAGUAAAAGAUCAGUCGUGAACACAUUCAUGAUUAACGAGGUCAGAUUCUCUUCUUCUAUCUCCACAUUUUAAUGCUAAUUCGAAAGUUGAGGACUACAUAAGAACUUACUCCCGACAUUAUUUUUCUUACGAGCCUUGAGAUAGACACCUCCAUGAGAGGAGAGAUUAAAACAGAGUUUCGAUCAAACUCAAACUAUGUUGGUCUGAUUAUUUUACACGAUCAACUAUCACUUCGGUCAAUAUCAUUUAAAGCUAAAAUGAGGGCUCAUACGAUCUAGCUUAAUGGGAUAAUUACUCUAUCAACUUUAUUCAACCCAAACUAUUAUCUAAAAUAUUUAAGUUGAAAUUUAUAAUAAUACAUCCAUCACAUCUUUAUAAGUAAAUCUUAAUCUUAUUCACUUUUGAUGUAGGAUUAAUGGGAUAAUUAGUCUAUCAACUUUAUGUAACAUAAACUAUUAUUUAAAAUUUUUAAGCUGAAAUUUAUAAUAAUACACCCAUCAUAUUUUUAUAAAUAAAUUUUAAUCUUAUCUACUUUUAAUGUACGGCUAAUUAAGAUGUUAUAAAAAUUGAUCAUAUGUUUAGACGCAUAAUUAAUGAGAAAUAGAAAAACUAAUACCUUAUAGAUACUAGAAUCAUAAUUUACCCUCAAAAUUAUCUUUUAAAAUUCAUUCCAAAAGCGCAACAUUGUGUGUUCAUAAAAUUUCUAUCGAGCUCUUAAGUCAUCAAGAGAAAUGAUGAUUUUUUUAGAUACUAAAAUAAAGAUUUUGAUUAGAUACUCAGUCGUAAAGUUUUGACUUUUCUUAGAUAGAAAACAAUAUUACAACUUAAGCAAGUUAAGAAAUUACUUGCCCGUUGAUUACAAGAUAUGAUUAUAUGGUAGUGUGUAUUUUUCUCUAAGAUAAGUAAUUCAAUGAAUAUGUUAAACAAGUGUAAGGAGAAUCAUUAUAUUAAUGUUGACCUCAUGUUUCAAAAAAUCCAACUAGAUUGAUCAUUAAAAUUAAGAAUAAUAAUCAUAAAGAGAAUUUUCUUUGUGUGAAAAGGAUAAGUUUGUAUUGAUGGAAUUUGAUUCUAAGACUUUACGAUCAAUGGUUUAUCCAAUAAGAUAUCGAAUUAAUGAAAUCUUCUAAAACAUUUAUUAGAUAUAAUAAGCUUAAAAGUAUUUUAAAUACGACUAAUGGAGUAGUAUAAAUAUAAAUUUAUCGGAUGAGAUUUUAAAAGAUUGAGUAAAUGGGUAAAAUUAUUAAUAUUAAUCUAAACUAAGAGGAUCGAAAGCGAGAGACUUGUCUUGGAAUAUGUGACCUCAUCAUUAUCGCUUCAUACUAUUGUCCUCUGUUUGGUAUGAUUGCAAUGGGAAACCAUAAGCACAUUUACCACCAGCCGAACCCGCCACCCCCUUGCGGCUGUGCCUCCCCUCGCCGGCAACGCACGCGCCACUGUCGGCCUUCUCAGCCCUGAGUUCAUAUGAGAUGACGAAGAUGAUGUUGAGAGAGAGAGAGAGAGAGAGAGAGAGAGAGGGCAAAGAGUACGAAGAAGAGGGAAUAUAGAGAGAUGGCAAUGAGUUGGUCGGUAUGUGUUGUGUCAUUACCUCUCCUGUCGUGAAGUAGAUUUGUGCGUCCUGUCGGAAUCCCGUUCUGAGUUCAAUGAUUCCCGUUUUGGCACCGAGAGAUUAAAGCUGCAAUUAUAUGACAGUAAACGAAGAUGAUGGAAUUCAGCGCAUGAGACAAAUGUGCAUAUGUACUCCGUGACUCCCAUUUCGGAUCUGAAAACACACCCCGAGCUAAAGAAAAGACUCGAAAGUCUAUGCUUACACAAAGUGACAAGUAAUAAUGAUUAUGGCAUUCCAGGAUACAUGUGGAUCUGCCAUGGCAGGUUUAGCUUUUUGUUUGGAGAUAAUGCAGUGCACCUAAAAUGAAUGGGUCUUCUUCUUAUUCUGUCAUUGUCCCUUCUUGGCAUCGUCUCGAGGCAUCUUUUCUCCCUCCAUACAUACUUCAACUGCAGUUGGCCAAGCUAUUGCAUUGGGAUUUGUUCCAGUAGAGUCUGCGUGGAGAAUCUUGAGGUGCUCCUCUGCCUCAUCAGCAAGGAAUGCUGAGUUCCAUCUUUCCAUAGCACAAGAGUGAAGCUGAUAGAAGACUUCAGGUGAGGAUUUCCUUUCACCAUUUCUCCCUCAGAUUAUAUAGCGAGUAAUUUGGGAAAGCAUAUAUUGUUCUUAGAUUUCUUCAGCUAAUAUCAAGGGGAAGAGGAUGGAUGGACCCUGUAAUCUUCUUCUUCUUCUUUCCUGGACUAGAAAGUAGGCUGCUUAUAUUUCCUCCAGAUGACAAAACAUUUACUGUUCAAUUUCUUUUCUUAGGUGUUGAUCUUUGUUUCACCAAGAAACAUCCUUCCGUGCUUCUGAGAGUUACUCAAGUUCCCAUACAGAGCAGUUUCUUUGGAAGAAACUGGUUGAAAACCUCUCACCUCCUCAAAUAGUUUGUGGAAAUGAUCUACUGAAGCCUUUUAAUAUGCAGGACUGAGUUCAACAUGAAGAAUCAUAGUCUCAGACUGUUUAGAAUACCUACUCUUCUGUUGCUGAACAUGAGACUGAUCUAAUCUUACUUGUUUGUCAUCACCUUUCUUCCGAUAGGCAGAGUUGCUGCAGACUGAAUAAUCUGGUAGAGCUUUUUUGCCUAACAAAAAGAAGCUCAGAUGGGUACAAUCAAGAAGAUUAGCUGACUGAUAAGUAGCCUAGCUUUUGGAGGCAACCUGAAUUCCUAUCCUUUGCUUGAUUCAAUCAACUUGCAACACUAGUUCUUGCAGGUUUUCAUUCAGUUCUUGGAAGACAGAAUCUGAAGCAGACAAUAGAGUCCAGAAGUUGCAGUGUCUUGAACUCCAUUCUUGAUGAGUGAUGUCCUGAGGCGUGCAGAAAUUUAGUUCUUGGCACUAUCUUAAGCAUCUUUCCUCUUCAUGUAUGUAUGUAUACAUGAACUGCAAUUGGCCAAGACACAAGAUGCCAAAUGAUCAUUAAAUGAUGAGAUGCUCAGCUCGGUAAUAAUUAUGGGACCAUUGUCACUUGUUCACCAUUUGUUUUUUUUUUCUUGAAGGAAAUGCUUAUUUUGUUCAUCAGCUUAUUUUUCUGAAACUUUUGCAGAUCAAUCAACCAUUGUUUAGGAUCAUUUCUUCUUCAAAAGAUUAGCCAAGAAUAGCAAGAAUCCAAAACAAAAUUGGCCUUAUCCAAUAGAGCAUCCCAAGUAUCACUCCCCAAACAUCAUCUUCACUCCAUUUCUGAAAACCCAUGGAGAGAUGCAUGAAGCAGUAUGACAAGGACUACAUGGAAAUGAAAACGAUCAUGUUAAAGCAGGAAGGAACUUUCAGACACCAGGUAGGUUUUCUUUCCCUGUGGCUUAGUCCUACAAUGAAGAAAGCCUCUGUCGAUUCUGAGUUCUAUUCACAUGCCUGAUUCAGGUCCACGAACUCCAUCGUCUGUACCAAAUUCAGAAGCUGUUGAUGCGGAAUACAAAGCCUGCUGCCAUGAAAAUGCGACGACAUAUGAAGCCAGAAACCGAGUUAUGGAAUGUAGAGAACGAGACAGCAUCUCACAGAAACUCACACAGGAGGCAACCUCUUUGUUCUCUUGAUCUGGAAGCCCCAGCAGAGUACAUCAGAGGGCACAAUGGAGAUGAAGAGAGUGAGUUGGAGCUGACACUUGCUACCGGAAGCAGCAGAUCUCAACGGAAGAGAAAAUAUGCUACAUUUACUUCAGAUUCAGGAUCAACCUUUUCUUCAUCCUCAAUCGAAUCUGGGGGUUUAGUCCCAGAUAUAUCCACCAGGUUCAGAAAUGAAGGAAAGAGUGGGCUCAACAUCGAGGAACAGAUGAGACAGGAUGCAGCAAAACAACCUCCUUGGCUCUUCCAAUGUACCAAACAAGACAUGGUGGCUUCUUUCAGAUUGUAAUGAUUCGUAUGAUGCUAGCUUUCUACCACAUUUGACCUCUUAGUCUUCUGCUGCCUAACAAAUCCAGUGAGGCAUUGAGAUCAUGAGCUAAAACAAGAUGAAGAUGAGUAAGAAUCAGUGAUAGGAGACCACUAACACAAGAAUCCAAAGGAUAAUUUCCCCUAAAUUGUCAUUCUUCUCCAUGAACGAAUGGAGGUGACAGCUUACCCAUCAGAAGUUGGAUGGAGAAGGAUCCAAUUCCGAUCUCAAACUUGUACGAGUAAUCCACAGGGCAAUACAUAAAGAAUACAGUAUUCACAUAUGUACAAAGUAACAACGGAAAGUACAUGCCUCGGGUUAACCGCUGCAAACAUCUUUCUUGGUGCUAUCAGAGUUCAAGCGAAACAUGGAUUGCAGAUGCCUAUACAGACGAUAAUGGGAACGAUCAGAGGAAGGAGGUGACAAUUUAUUCAUCACUAGAUGUGAAAGGAUAGUAUACAUCAUCACUUAAGAGAUACUGACAUAUCAAGAGAUCGAAUGUCUUCGAUCUUUGGGUGGCUUUGUCCGACCUUUGCUGGAGAAAGGCUUCACACCGUCGGCGUGCGUGAAGGGGUAGAGGCGCCCGAGCUUCUUAGAGAGAGAGUUUAUGAAGGACUUCUUCGGCAGCGGAGGCUUCUGUGCAGAUGGUAUUUGUCCUGAUGGCUUCUCCACUUCCUUCAGCAGCAUUCUCAUCCUCAGCAACUGCAUUCUCAGGUCAUCGUUCUCCCUUUGCAGGCGCGAGAGUUCGUCCGUGCCUCCGCGAUGUUUCGUCGAACAUGGAGUCGACCUGAGCGACAGCGCAGGAGAUUCUCCCCCCGUGAAGCUUCCGCUCGUUGCAUCUCUGAAGCGCUGCUGCUCGCAGAAAAGAACCUGAACCACCGUCUGCACCGGAAGCCUUUCGUUCUGAGCCGCAUGAGCACAAGCCUCCCUUGACAGUUUCUGGCAGUCCAUCAAGCUGCAAACCUUCUUCCUCUCCUCAUCAGUCGAUGACGGGUGAGCCUGCAAGUUGAGUCAGUAGCAGCAAAUCACGGAUGGGAAGCAAAAGAAGCAGAAGCAGAUGUCUCACCUUGAGGUAUAUGUCAAUGGCUCUGUACAUCCCAUCUUCGUUAACUCUUGCUUGCUCGGACACCAACUCACCAAGGCUAAUAAACCUGGCGAUCGUCAAGUUGGGAUCAGAUGCAAUCUCCGCAAGGUAGCUCUCCAUCAGCCUUCCAACUCGCUCCAUGUCGCCGUGCGGUGGCGAGAUGUAGUCGUCGUCGGUGCUGUAGCCAAUCCGGCUUCCAUUGACCUCAUGCUCGAGGUAGUUCAUCAGUAUCCUCUGAACCGUGUCGACGUCGAACAUGGUGUCGCCAUCGAAGGUGAACGAGGGAAUCAGUAGAUCGUCUAUCACUGCCUGGCCGAGUUGCAAGCCCAUCCUCUUCUCCAGAUCAAG
rnacentral:lncRNA from 1 species